CCCUAAAAUACAUAAAAUACUUAAUUAAAAUAACACACACGUAAUUACAUCACAAGAAGGUUAAAUACAUAAAAGUAAGAGUUGUUAGUAAGACUUGAAAUAUAAAAUGAUGGUUUUCUCCUUUAUAAAUAUGCAUUUUCUAAUACUCAACAGCUCCCGUGUCUAGCAGCGCGCGAACGGACUGACUUUACGAGGGCAUUCAACGACUUUUUCUCCGGGCAGUCGCGUACCCAAUGAGGGCCAUUGCAAAUGAAGCAUGGGCUUCGAGGCUUGGGUGGCUUCUCGGACUUACUUUGCCCGUCCUUGCCGCUUGGAGGCUUUUUCUUGCUCCAUUCCUUGCAAUUGCGGUUGUUGUCCUCAUGGUUCUCUCCCCCACCUUGGUCAUAGCUAGACCUCUUGUCCUUGAGCUGGGCGGAGUAUUCGGUGAGCGACUCCGCAAUGGCGAUGGCGUCGUCAAGUGUUUGAACACCACGCCUAUCAAGCUCGGUCUUGGCCCAAUCCUUGAGGCCAUCUUGGAAGUAAAAGAGUGAAUCUUUGUCGGACAUGUCGCUUAUCUCCAACAAAAGGGUAGUAAACUCGUUGAUGUAGUCCCGAAUGCUACCCGAUUGCUUGAGGCGACGUAAGCGCGCUCGCGCUUCCUUCUCCGCAUUGCUUGGGGCGAACUGCUUUCGGAGUUCUUGCUUGAAGUCAGCCCAAGUGUCGAUGGUGCAAAUGCCCUUGCCCAUCUCGCCAUGCUUGCGACGCCACCAUAGUUGUGCAGCGCCUCGAAGAUAGGUGGGUGCAGUGCCCACUUUCGAUGCCUCAUCUCGGACACCCAUGGCAUCGAACUGCUGUACGGCCAAGGCGGAUGUACGGUACAGCAGAACCCGUGCGGCACUUAGACAACUUUGCCGAAUGUUGCUAAGUAAGCCUAGAGCUUCUCGGAAUAGAGAAGAGAGCAAUUGAGCCAAAGAAGAAACUUGUAUUGCACAAAGAGAGAUUACAAUGCUUGUUGUAGUGUUUGUUGGAUACAAAUGCCUAAUGCCAUCCCAUAUUUAUAGGGGAGGCUUGCCAAGCUCUAGAGAUUCUAGAGAAUUCUACCAUGUUCCUAGAAUUCUAGAUAUUUACAUGUGCUGGAAUUCUAUGCUGCUGUACGGCCCAGGCGGAUGUACGGUACAGCAGGGCUAAAAAUUCCUCUUUUUGCACUCCAAUUUUUUUUCUCUUUCUCUUGAAAAAUUCUUCAUAUUUUUCCUGACCAUGAUGCAAAAAAUCAGACCAAAAUUCAAUAUAUUUUUUUUUUUUGGGGGUGGGGGUCAGCUCAAGUAUUGGGGGUGUCUAUUGCUGCUAGAUCAAAAAAAGCUCUAAGACCUCUUUAGGGGGGUAAGGGAUGAGAGGUGCCUAGGUCGGGUGGUGGGAGCCCCGGCCUUUGUUGGCGUUGGCCUUGCUGCUCGGCCUUGGUGCUUCGGUUUUGGGACGUCCGUCGGAAUGUCGCCGUCGAGCUCGCUCCGGCGUCAUUCCGGCGACUUUCCGGCGACCUUGUUUUUGCGGAAAAAGUAAAUGUGUGCUGCUUCUGCUGUACGGCCAAGGCGGAUGUACGGUACAGCAGUACAAUGCUUGUUGUAGUGUCAUGUGCUGGAAUUGUAUAAAGUAUUCUAGAAUAUUUACAUGUUCACAUGUGCUAGAGUUGCCUAGAACCUUCCGGAAUUGGGCCAAGCUAGCACUCUUGGCCUUGUGUUGGCUCUCUAGCCCGAAAUUGUGGGCAAUUGGGCUAGCGAAUUGGGCGGUCCGCAAUAGUAACAUCACUUAAAACCAAAGAUAAUACAAAAUUACAAAUACUAAAAUUUGAAAUUAAUCAUGUCAUCCAAUGUUAAAACAAAUCACAUAAUUUUUUUUUAAACAACAUUCUACCCCCCAACCUAUUCUAAACAUGAAAGGAAAAUAUGCAUGCAAAAAUAUAAAAAUGAUGCAGAAAAAUUAAUUAGAAAAAAAAUAUUUUUUUUUAACUUAAGAAGAAGCGUUUCUAGAAGCACUACACUCGAUAUUCAGCCAUCUUCGACUCAAAAGAAAAAAAAUUAAAAAUGUAUAUUUAUAAAGGAGAAAUUAAAAAGAAGAAGAAAAAUGAACAUCAAAACAUAAUAAAGAAAAAGAAAAUGUCUGAAUUUUUUUUUUAAUUUUUGUUUUUUUUUUCAAAAGAUGAAGAUACCUUUCUAGAGUCACUACACUCCAUAUUCAGCCAUCUUCAACACAAAAAGUUAGCAACAGUUAGUUUCUACAACAAAAAAUCAGUAAAAACUUAAUCAAGAUUCCACAAUUGUCGACUAUUCCCUCCCCCCAACCAGAACGAAACAUUGUCCUCAAUGUUUUAAAGGAAAGAAGUAGAGUUUAGAAGACAUCACCUGGGUGGUGCAACACAGAAGAAAAUAUUUACAGGCGGGAGUUAAAUCUAAUUUGUACUUCUUACUGCGGCUACUCUUACCAUCAUUAUUUGGAUGCUCUAACACAAAGGUCCAGGGGUCUGGCUCCGGUUUAUAAGCUUGUAACAGAUCAAGUAGCUCAUUAGCAGUGUGAGCACAAAUAAAAAGUUUUUUGGCAUUGGAAGGAACAAAAUAGUUUUUUAUUGCAUGGUUAAGAAAUGCGAUAAAGCCAUCAUAAAAAUUAUUGACAUUUAACAAACCGAUGGGUUUCUGGUGAAUGUGCAGAUGGGCCCAAGAUGCUAGUGUGAUAAGUGCCUCUAGUGUUGCAAGAUCUCCUGGAAGAAAAAUAAAAGCAUCAACAUGAUUAAGCAUUUCAGUUAUUCUUUCUUGCAUGCCUGAGACGACUAACUCUUCUCCAGUUGAUGAGUCAGACGAACUGCCCAAUGGUUUUAGGACUCUUGGGAUGAUGCCUAACACUUGACUUCCUCUGAUAAAAGCUGCUUCGGAGACCAUUUUUGAUAACCCUCGGUUACCUCCUCCAUACACCAAAUGUAAAUUUCUCGCUGCUAUGCUUCGACCAAGAUCUAUAGCUGCCUCAACGAACUCUUUAUGUUUCACGUAGUUGCGACUGUGGCUCACAUCUUCCUCUGGUUUUACGUCCAGAAACGGCUUGAACGCCCUCUAUGGGUCGAGGAUAGGCUUCCCAUCCCGUUUUCUUAUAAACUGGCACACAGGGUCGUUUAUAGUCAGAUUCCCGAGACUAUAUCGUGUAUGCUCUUUCUGGAAUAAUGGCCAUAACUGGAGAAUCGCUCCUUGCAUAUAUCCACUGGGAUGCGUUUCAAGAGACAAAAGGAUAUCAUCCAAUGACUCCUUAUUCAAGUCAUCCCUAAUGAAUUGAAUCUUAUCUUCCCUGUUAUUAGACACCAUUCCUAAAGAACAUGGGUUUUUAUCGCAACUCAUUCUGGCACACUUGUGACAAGCAACAGAAAUUCUUCGAGCUCGUCGUUUUCUUGCAUAAUUUCCUUUACCACAACCAGGCAUGAAUGCAAUAAAUUUUGGAGGUAACUCACCUGCCGAUCGUACUUUAGCCUCGAUUAACCAACGGAUGUCUGCAGGUAUGUUAUUCCUCAUGAGCAAUCGCAUGCGUUCAGACCGGGCUUUAUAGAUUGUAAGGAGGGCAUUCUGAGGAAGUGAAGGGAAUUGCUUGUGAAGCUUUGCUAGAGUCUCGUUUCUGUCCAUACUUUCGCCUCAGAAUGUCAGUUAUUGUGGGAAACUGAAGUAACCGACUUGAUUGUCGCGGAGUACCGUUAUCCGCCAUUUCACCGGGGUAACAAACUAAAGCACACAAAUAGAAAAAAAAAGUAAAAACACAAUUAAAAUCGUCCUCUUAUUGAAUUUACCUCAAGCUCCAACUGGAUGUCGUAAACACUUCUCUCAAUGUCUCUGAGUUGGCGUUCUAAACCCUCAACAUAGGCUACUAACUCUGGUGGCUGUAGAGCCCAAAUGCGAUGUGUUUUACAAAAUUGAAUUUGCCUUUUGAGAUGAGUUUUGACACGUUGAAGUGGUUUAAGAAUGUUCAGGAGGAACGGUCUAAGUAAGGUACUCAUGAUUAAAAAUGAUAAGAGAAAAUUUAAUAGUUAAACAAACACACUUAUGCAAAAAUAAUUUCAAUUAGGAAAAGAAUAAUAUAAAGAAAGAAAAAAAUAUCAAAUCACCGAAAAGAAAAGAAAAAAACAAUCAAUUCAAAUCUGGUGGGUGACUCAAAUUUAUUUCGGUGUCUUCUCCAUGUGGUUGGUACUCUAGAUAUGGCUUUAAUCUUUGACCAUUCUCUGCUGUACCGUACAUCCGCCUUGGCCGUACAGCAGUUCAUUCGUUGCUUGUAAAUCUUGGCAUUUUCGUAUGCGUCAUUGUGAAUUUCUACAAGUUCUGCGAGCUGUAAUCUUCUUUCUGAGCUGGCUUGCUGCAUGUCGAAAUUGAAUUUCUUGAUGGCCCAAUAUGCACGAUGCUCGUGUUCCACAGGUAGGUGGCAAGCUUUUCCAUACACUAGCCUGUAGGGUGACAUCCCAAUCGGGGUCUUGAAAGCCGUUCUAUAUGCCCAUAAUGCAUCAUCAAGUCUUAAUGACCAAUCUUUUUUGUCUGGCCUCACCGUCUUUUCUAAUAUGUGCUUUAUUUCUCGAUUGAAGAUCUCAACUUGGGCACUGGUUUGCGGAUGGUAUGGGGUCGCCACUUUGUGAGUGAUUGAAUAUUUUGUCAAAAGAGUUUUGAAUGCUUUGUUACAAAAGUGGGCAUCACCAUCACUGAUUAUUGCUCGAGGGAAUCCAAAGCACGAAACAAUGUUGCUUUUCAAAAAUCAUAUCACCACCUUGUGAUCAUUGGUUCUACAUAGAAUUGCUUCUACUCAUUUCGAUACGUAGUCAACAGCAACCAAUAUGUAUUGAUGGCCAAAAGAAGGGGGAAAGGGUCCCAUGAAGUCGAUACCCCAUACGUCAAAAAUCUCAACCACUAAAAUUGGAUUUAGUGGCAUCAUGUUCCUUCGUGCUGCUGUACGGCCAAGGCGGAUGUACGGUACAGCAGAGUAGAACCAAAAAUAAUGUCAUCAACAUAAAUUUGAACAAUAAGUAUGUCUUGGUUCUUAUGCUUAACAAAAAGAGUUGUGUCCGCUUUUUAAAACAAAAUGAGGAAGGAAUUUUCAUAAAUCAAGCCAAGUAUAUGAAAGACCUACUCAAGCGAUUUGGCAUUGAUGAUUCAAAAACCAAAAGCACUCCAAUGAGCACAACAACUAAGCUUGACAAAGAUGAAAAAGGCAAAGAAGUGGAUAUCAAAAUGUAUCGAGACAUGAUCGGAUAUUUACUUUACCUAACCGCAAGUAGACCCGAUAUCAUGUUUAGUGUAUGUUUGUGUGCAAGAUUUCAAUCAUGUCCCAAGGAAUCUCAUUUACUUGCUGUAAAAAGAAUUUUCCGUUAUUUAAGUGGAACUAUAGAUCUUGGCCUUUGGUACCCUACAUGAACUCAUAUAGAUUUAACAUGUUAUUCGGAUGCGGAUUUUACUGGAUACAAAGUUGAUGGGAAAAGCACUAGUGGAACUUGUCAUUUACUAGGCCAUUUACUUGUUUCAUGGUUUAGUAAGAAAAAAUAUUCUGUUGCACUCUCAACCACCGAGGUUGAAUAUAUCGCCGCCAGAAGUUGUUGCGCAUAAAUACUUUGGAUGAAACAAACACUUAAAGAUUAUGACAUAAAUCUUGAACAAAUUCCUAUUAAGUGUAAUAAUACCAGUACUAUAAAUCUUUCAAAGAAUCCCAUUCAGUACUCUAGAACCAAGCAUAUAGAAAUUAGACAUUAUUUCUUGAGAGAUCAUGUUCAAAAGAGAGAUAUUGCAUUAGAGUUUAUUUCCACAGAAAAACAACUUGCCGAUAUUUUUACAAAACCUCUUUGCGAAGACCAAUUUCUGCUGUACGGCCAAGGCGGAUGUACGGUACAGCAGAUAAAGACUUCAAGGAAUCGUUCAACCAUAUCAGAAAAAAUGCUUAACAUGCAUCGUUGAAAUGUAGCAGGUGCAUUACAUAAUCCAAAUGGCAUUCUCCUAUAUGCAAAUGUGCCAAAAGGGCAAGUGAAAGUGGUUUUCUCUUGAUCUUUUGGUGCUAUGGGAAUCUGAUUAUAUACUUAGUAGUCAUCUAGAAAGUAACAAAAUUCAUGACCUACUAAUCUAUCAAGCAUUUUAUCGAUAAAUGGUAAAGGAAAAUGGUCUUUACGUGUGACAGAAUUCAAUUUUCUAUAAUCAAUGCAUACACGCCAUCCUGUAGUUACUCUAGUGGGUAUCAAUUCAUUAUCAGCAUUCGUAACUACUGUGACUCCUGACUUUUUGGGUACAACUUGUACGGGACUGACCCAUGAACUAUCAGAAAUUGGGUAAAUGAUACCUGCAUUUAAUAGCUUAAGGACUUCUGUUCUAACAACUUCUUUCAUAUUAGGAUUUAACCGACGUUGCAUUUCCCUAGUAGAUUUAGCAUUUUCAUCGAGGUGAAUGUAAUGCAUGCAGUCUAUUGGGUUUAUACCUUUUAUGUCUGCUAUGGUCCAUCCUAAUGCCCCUUUGUGCUCUUUUAACACAUCCAACAACUUACCUUUUUGUUCGUCAUUUAGGGAUGAUGAGAUGAUUACCGGUAGAGUACUUUCUUCUCCCAAAAAUGCAUAUUCCAAUGUGUUGGGUAAUGGUUUGAGCUCGAGUUUCGGUGGUGAUUCUGAUGAUGGGAUGAGUUUCUUCUCUGAUGGUGCUAGUUGUUCAACUCUUGACUUCUAUUUAUUAGUGUCCAUGGAUGGUGCUGAGUCAAGUAGGGCGUUGACCUCUUCGACCGAUCUGUCAAUAUCAAAAUCCAAACCAACGUGAGUUAAACAUGUUUGUAAAGGAUCAUCACUAAGGUUUGAAACAAAAGUAUUAUCAACUAAUGCUUUUAUUAAAUCCACAUCAACAAUUCCAUCAUCUGUAUUGUGAGGUUGUUUGGCAAUGUUGAAGAUGUUCAGUUCCAUAGUCAUGUUGCCGAAGGACAACGGCAUAUUUCCAGUCCUGCAUUGAAUGUGAGCAUCCGCCGUUGCCAAGAAAGGUCGGCCUAGAAUAAUGGGGAUGUGCUUCCUUGAAUCCUGUAUUGGUUGAGUGUCAAUUACAAUGAAAUCAACAGGAAAAUAAAACUUGUCUAUCUGGAUAAGCACGUCCUCCACAAUACCACGAGGUAUUUUUGUGGACCGAUCUGCAAGUUGUAACACCACUGGAGUUGGGUGUAAUUCUCCCAGUCCAAGUUUCACAAACACUGAAUAAGGUAACAGAUUUACACUAGCUCCUAAAUCCAACAAAGCAUUCUCAAUUGUGUGGUUCCCUAUACUACAUGAGAUAGUGGGGGAACCUGGGUCUUUGCAUUUUAAAGGAAUUUUAUGUUGGAGUAUAGAACUAACGUUUUCUGUUAAAAAUGCCUUCUUUUGAACAUGCAUAUUUCUCUUUUUAGUGCAAAGGUCUUUAAGAAACUUGGCAUAAAAUGGAAUUUGUUUCAUAACAUCAAGUAAAGGGAUGUUAACGCUUACCUGUUUGAAGAUUUCAAGAAUCUCACCUGUGGAUUUUUCUUUUUUUCCUUUAGCUAACCUCUGAGGAAUGGAGCUUUCGGAACAUAUUCUUACGGUUGGUUUCUUCUUUCUCCUCCGAUGGUGAGUCCUCAACAUUCACAGGUACAAUUUGAUUUUCUUUUAUCACCAACAUCUCCAUUUUGUUGUCGACUUCUUUUCCUUUUUGCAAAAAAGAAAAGUAUUAUCAACUAUUGUUUCUAUUAAAUCCAUAUCAACAAUUCCAUUAUCUGUAUUGUGAGGUUGUUUGACAAUGUUGAAGAUGUUCAACUCCAUAGUCAUGUUGCUGAAGGACGACUAUUGAUUGUAUGGUCUGAAUGGUGGCUGAGAGGCUUGAGGAUUUUAAGGAAUUUUUUGCAUUGGUGGAACUGGAGCUGUUGGUCCAUUCUGUUGGAAUCCUUGAGACCAUGAAAAAUUAGGGUGGUAUCUCCAUCCAGGGUUAUAUGUGUUGGAAUAUGGGUUGUAAUUUGAUGGUUUUCUCAUUACACCUAUGGCAUUGGCUUGAUCUGGAUAUGAGUCAGGGUCAUGUGGCUCUGUUGAUUUAGCAGUUGAUAACGAUGCUAUUUGUCUAGAGAGACCUUCAAUUAUUGCUUUGACUUCUUUAAUUUCUGAACUGGAUUCGCCAAUGUGAACCUCAUUUACUCCCUUAAUUCUUCUAGUAUUCUUGAGUGAUCGACUCCGUUGUUGGGAAUUAUCCGCUUGUCGCUGGAAAAAUUCCCAAAUUUCUGAUGCACUUUUUGACAUUAGCUCUCCUCCACUUGUUGCCAUUAGCCAUUCUUGCACAUUCGGCAAUAAUCCCUCCAAAAAGUAUUGACAUUGGUGCCAUUUUUCGUACCCAUGAUGUGGACACUUCAAGAGUAGCCCAUUGAAUCGCUCCCAUGUUUAUUUACACUAGCUCCUAAAUCCAACAAAGCAUUCUCAAUUGUGUGGUUCCCUAUACUACAUGAGAUAGUGGGGGAGCCUGGGUCUUUGCAUUUUAAAGGAAUUUUAUGUUGGAGUAUAGAACUAACGUUUUCUGUUAAAAAUGCCUUCUUUUGAACAUGCAUAUUUCUCUUUUUAGUGCAAAGGUCUUUAAGAAACUUGGCAUAAAAUGGAAUUUGUUUCAUAACAUCAAGUAAAGGGAUGUUAACGCUUACCUGUUUGAAGAUUUCAAGAAUCUCACCUGUGGAUUUUUCUUUUUUUCCUUUAGCUAACCUCUGAGGAAUGGAGCUUUCGGAACAUAUUCUUACGGUUGGUUUCUUCUUUCUCCUCCGAUGGUGAGUCCUCAACAUUCACAGGUACAAUUUGAUUUUCUUUUAUCACCAACAUCUCCAUUUUGUUGUCGACUUCUUUUCCUUUUUGCAAAGUCAUGACUGCUUUGACCUCUCUAUGCUGCUGUGGUGAACUAGUACUUGCUUCAUGUACUCCUUUAGGAUUAGGCACUGGUUGACUUGGAAACUUGUCUUUCUCAACAGUCAUUGCUAAGGUCUGAACUGAAGAAGCAAGCUGUCCCACCAUCUUCUCGAGGCUUAAAACUGAUUGAGCUUGUGAGUUGAAGCCUGCUCUCAACUCAUUUCGUAGUCCAUCAAUGGUGCGGUUCUGUUGCUCAAUCAUGGAGUGAGUAACAUUCUUGAAAUUCUGGAAUGCAUCCUCCUAUGGUCUAGGUUGAGAGUGGUUCUGGUUUUGAUUGUAUGGUCUGAAUGGUGGCUGAGAGGCUUGAGGAUUUUAAGGAAUUUUUUGCAUUGGUGGAACUGGAGCUGUUGGUCCAUUCUGUUGGAAUCCUUGAGACCAUGAAAAAUUAGGGUGGUAUCUCCAUCCAGGGUUAUAUGUGUUGGAAUAUGGGUUGUAAUUUGAUGGUUUUCUCAUUACACCUAUGGCAUUGGCUUGAUCUGGAUAUGAGUCAGGGUCAUGUGGCUCUGUUGAUUUAGCAGUUGAUAACGAUGCUAUUUGUCUAGAGAGACCUUCAAUUAUUGCUUUGACUUCUUUAAUUUCUGAACUGGAUUCGCCAAUGUGAACCUCAUUUACUCCCUUAAUUCUUCUAGUAUUCUUGAGUGAUCGACUCCGUUGUUGGGAAUUAUCCGCUUGUCGCUGGAAGAAUUCCCAAAUCUCUGAUGCACUUUUUGACAUUAGCUCUCCUCCACUUGUUGCCAUUAUCCAUUCUUGCACAUUCGGCAAUAAUCCCUCUAAAAAGUAUUGGCAUUGGUGGCAAUUCUCGUACCCAUGAUGUGGAGACUUCAAGAGUAGCCCAUUGAAUCGCUCCCAUGUUUCGAAAAAUUGCUCGUCCUCUCUUUGGGUAAACUCCGAGAUUUCCGUGCGAAUAGCAUUGGUUUUAUGCACUGGAAAAUAUUUAUUCAAAAAUUUCGUUACCAUUUGUUCCCAUGAUGCAAUGCAUUUAGCAGGCAAUGUAUUAAGCCAUGAACGAGCUCUAUCCUUUAAAGAAAAUGGGAAUAAUCUGAGUUUUACAUCAUCAUCUGAAAAAUUCUCAUAUUUAAAUGUUUGACAAAUAGCAUGAAAAUCAUUCAAAUAAUUAUAUGGGUCCUCAUUUUCUAGGCCAUAGAAUGUUGGGAGACAAUUUAGCACACUAGGUUUUAGUUCAAAACUCCUAGCAGCUACAUUUGGGUAUCUUAUGCAUGAUGUGCUCGAAUUAGCUAAAGGACUGAAGUAGUCCUUAAAUGGCCUCUCCUGUGGUUGCAAAUCCAUUUUAUUUUUAACUUGUUUGUGUGUGCGAAGUGUUUUCUCAAGUUCAAGGUCUAUAGGUUCAAGAUUCAAGGCGGAUGUACGGUACAGCAGUAAUUUAUAAAUUACAGAAUUUUAAAGAAGAGAAAAAGAAAAGAAAUACUAAACUUUAAAUAUAGAUUCACUUUUUUUUUCUUUUUUUAAUAAUAAAAAAAAUACAAGCAAAUAAAUAAAAGAAAUUAUUCACAAAAAUUAAUUUUACGAAUUAAAAUAACGAAUCUAUUGUAGAAUAGACUAAUGGUGACGAGUGUCGAUCCCAUGAGGAGGUGGAUUUUAAUUGUGUGUAGAAUUAAUUUUGUAAAUGGGUGGUUGGAUUUGUGGUGAAAAUGAUUUUGAUUAUCCUAAAAUUGGAAUUGAAAUGGCUAGAAUAAAUUGAAGAUAAAUCUAUUGAAAUGACGUACUUUGGUAUCUGGAUCCGUAUCAACAUGCACCAUGGGCUAAAUAUUCCUUAUUAAUGAAUCCACACCUCAUGAACCACACUCUAAUCAAUAUGGUGCUAAGGGGUUAUCGUGCCAAAUAAUAAUAACCUUGUAAUAGGGGGCCGGUGAAACCAAGGCGGUACUAGACAAGAUUAGUAUUAUUUGUCGACGAGAAGUCAAAACAUCCACAAAAAUUAGAGGGGAAGAGAAAGUAAAUUUACCAAAUAAAGCCCAUGACACAUGUUGAGACUUCACCUUCAACCCAAGCUUGAAAGAAAAUUAGCUACUCAUAAUUGAACUAGGGGCAAAAUAGAAAUUUAUUAAAAUACAUAGAAAAUACAAGAUGGAGAAGGAAUUACAGAAAAUGGAUCCCAAAAAUGGAUUCAGAGCUCUCAAAUUAGGGGGGGAGGCCCCCCUUUUAUAGAUACAUGGAGUAAAUCAUGGCCAUCGGAUUAAAAACAGUUUAGACGCUCAGGAUUGCGCCACGUCAUCAGUCAACAAUACGCGGUUUGACCACGCGGAUGAAUAAUAACACGGUUUGACCCGGGUAUAAUCCUGUGUGAUGCAUGUACCGUACGCGAGAUUUUUCGUCCACUGAUAUGCUGCCACGUCACCAUCAACAGUACAUAAGAAUUUUAGUCCAACAGGAUCGUGACACCUCAUCAGUCAAUGCCACAUCAUCGGUCAAUGCCACGUCAUCGAUCCGUCUAUGUGAACAGUGCCGUGAACAGUAACAUAUACAGUACCGUAUACGUGAAUAGUACCGUACAUGUGAAUAGUGCCAAUGUCCGUUUUGCCGUCUGAUCUCUCGUUUAUUGUGAAAUGACCAUGAUGCCCCUAAAAUACAUAACAUACUUAAUUAAAAUAAAACACACAUAAUUAAAUUACAAGAAGCUUAAAUACAUAAAAGUAAGGGUUGUUAGUAAGACUUGAAAUGUAAAAUGACGAUUUUCUCCUUUAUAAAUAUGCAUUUUCUAACACUCAAAGCCCAACAUAUCAAAGCUACUGGUCAUGGAUAUCAUCCAUCAUCACCAAAGGUGAUUCCUGAACCAUCGAGACUUCCUCAUCUGACAGCUCCUUCCCAUCAUCUCCACUCAUUGGAACAACGGGGUGUGUAUAAUCAUGAUCAAAAGCAUUUACAGUAAAGACAUGACGGUCAUCUAGGGGGUCAGCCAAAGGUUGGGGGUCCAGAUCCUCAUGAUUUUUAUGCUCCGUGCCCACACCUUUCAUAUUUCCAUAACAAAGAAUUUGUGAAGAAAAGACCACAGUGUGCUUUGUAGGAUCCAAAGUGGUAGCUACAGGAGGAGUUUGUUGGUUAUUAGGAGCAGCAUGUGUACUGGGGCAAUGGAUUUGGCUAGGGUUGUCAUGGGGUGUGGAAAUAAUAGUUUUUUCUCUUAUGUGGAGGGCAGUAGUCUGGAAAGGAUUGCGGGUAGGGUUCAUUGGGGUGAAAGGUUUCCUAUUUGGUAGCUUCGAAGCAGCAAAUUUUGGAGUCUACUGAUGUCUAACAGGAGGCUUAAAUACUUUAUCAUUGUUAAAGGUAAAUAUCGGAUUUGAGCUGGGUGGACUAGGUUGUUUUGAGGUUGAGGGGACGUCUGUGGAAGCGUCAUGCAGAGGGUUUUCAUGCAGAUCCGUCAUCUGAGCUAGAAUAUGAAACCUUGACUCACUCGCCCCAUUAGGUUCACGGUUUUGACCAUUGUUUGGCUUCCUUCCUUUCCUAGUUACAAUCAUCCAAGGGCCGAAAGGCUCAACCAUAACAGCAUCUUCACGGUUAGCUUAUGGAGAGGUAGGAUCCUCCCGACUUUGCACACCAGCUGGAGGCUGUGCAACGUUAUCAGAAUUUCUCUCAGCAGCCGAACUCUUACAGUUAUUGCUAUUAUGACCGUACCUCCCAUAAGCAAAACAAAUUACAGGCAAACCUUCGUACUCUACCUUUUGGAUCCUUCUAUCCAAUUCAAACUGAGAAACUAAAGGCUUGUCUAGGGAAACACUUACUGUAAGGCGAGCAAACCUUCCGCGAGUAGAAGAAGCAGUGUUUGAGUCUAUUUUGAUCACCGUACCCACUAUCUGACUAAGUUUUUGCAGAACUUUCUGGUUGUAAAGAUGGACUGCAAGGCCAGGUAAGCGAAUCCAUACAGUGACUUGGUCAAGAACUGUUUUGGUGAAAUCAAAAGAAGGUGACCAUGGCUGGACUGUUAAGUAAUGCCCCAUUAUAAUCCAAGGGCCUUUAGUUAGGGCAUCAACCGCAUCCCUAGCAGAUCGAAAACGAAUCAGAAAAUAAUUAUUUUCUAAGUCAAUCACCGAGUAUGUCAUGGUUGUUCUCCACAACGCAUGUAGCCUAGUGCAUAAAUUUUUGUAGCCAAUAUUUCGGCCUAGCAACUUGACAACAACAGAGUGCUUCUACGGUUCACUCAGCUUUGCAUGAACCCUAUCCGAAAAACUUAUUGACGGCAAGGUUCCAUCGUUACGCUCAACCACAUCUCCUUCCUCAAAAUCCCAGUCCACUGCACCUCUUCCAAAUCCAUUCUCCAUUGUUUGUGAUGAAUUCACAAGUGUUUCUUUGUAGGAGACCUGUUUAGUAGUUUCACUAUCAUUCUCCUCAUCACGAAAGCGUGCCUUUUAGGUCAUUCUAGCUUCCCUAAACGGCGGCGGAAAAGCCUCGCCGAAGUUAGGGUUUUCGCCACCUCCGAGAUUUUCGGAGUUUUCAUCCAUCUUUUUUACGAAGUCUACUAUAUUAAGUUGUCUUUUUACAAUUAACUAUUCUUUGAUCAAGACUUGAAGCUUUUUAUUUACCUUGGAAUGUUUUCAAAAUCAAUUGGCUGCUAGGCUCCACCAUGUCCAAUAAGAUUAGGCACACUUUGACUUUGUCUCGCCUCGAGCUAGCUUCGAGACUUAGAGCAUUUUAUUUGCCUUAGAAUGUUUUCAAAAUUAUUGGCUACUCUGCUCCAUCUUGUCAAGCAAGAUUAGGCAAAUUUUUACUCUGUCUCGUCAUGAGCAGGCUUCGAGACUUAAAGUUUUUAUUUGCCUUCAAAAAUUUUCAAAAUCAAUUGGCUGCUUGGCUCUACCUUGUCGAGCAGGAUUAGGCAAACUUUAACUCUAUCUAGCCUUGAGCAGGCUUUGAGACUUGAAGCUUUUUAUUUUCCUUGAAAUAUUUUCAAAAUCGAUUGGCUGCUCGGCUCAACCUUUUCGAGCAAGAUUAGGCAAACUUUGACCCUAUCUCGCCUUUUAUGUGCCUUAGCCUUUUAUUUACCUUGGAAUAUUUUCAAAGUUAACUACCUCUUCGACUUCAUCUGGUCGACUAAGUUUGGGCAAACAUAAACUUUUGUCUCGUCUCGAGUAGGCUUUGAGACUUUAAGCCUUUUACUUGCCUUAAAAUAAUUUAUAAGCAGAAAGAUAAUUCAGUUGAAUGGGUCUAUUCAUGCCCACUCCACUCGUUGUUCAUAAGUUACAGAUCAUAAAUAAAUACCACUACAAUCAAUUAAAUCAUUACAAAGAUAAUGCUUACUAAAAGUAUUCCUUCAAGUGCUUUGCGUUCCACGACGUCUUUACUUUUCUCAUCCAUCUAUGUAGGUCAGCUUGUACGCUCUCAGGCUUGUUGCUCGUAAAAUUUUGUAUAGCUCCUCCCGGUUAGGACCGAACACGCCUUAGCUUGGAUCUUUUAUGCUUUGAUUAACCCUUUGCAAUACCUAAACACCACUUCUAAAUUGUCGCACUUGGACAUUCCAGUUGUAGUAGCAUGCAACUUUCUGUUGAUACUCAACCACUUUCCUGGAGGCUAUCUCCCUCUUUACGGCUAGUAAAUCUAGGUUCAAGCGUGUUUGCUCUUCAUUUUCUGCUCGUCAAGUAUUUUGUCCGAUGUGUGCCCAUUCUAACUUCUACAGGGACUACAACUUCAUAUCCAAAAGUUAAGGCAAACGGGGUUUCCUUUGUGGCUGUUUGUGAGUGGUUCUGUAGGCGCAUAGCACACAAGGUAAUCCAUCAGUCCACACCCCUUUCUUUUCUUCUAGUUGAGUUUUUAAGAGUUUCUUCAUAGUUUUAUUUGCUACCUAAACCUAAUUAUUUGCCUUUGGAUGGGCAUGUGAGUAGAGCCUCAGCUCUAUGCUCAAAUUUUCACAAAACUCUUUCAAAUUGUCGUAACCAAACUGUCUUCCAUUGUCUACUAUGAAGGUGUAGGGGAUCCUAUAUCUAUAUAUAACAUUCUUCAGAAAAAUCAGUUAUCUUCUUCUAUGAAUCUUCUGUAAAAUUCAACAUGACCCAAAACACUUCUAAUACAAUAUUUUAAUGUGAAAAAAUAAUUAAAAUUAAUUUAAAUUUUCGCGCCAUUUUUUAAAGUUUUGGCAGGAAAUUCGAUUAUUAUUUGUUAAUUUAUUAUUCAAUUUUGCGGGAAAUUAUUUAUGACAGAAUUUAUGAUGGAUGUUUCCUAUCGUAAAAUAAUAUAAUUUUUUAAAAACAUUUUAUAAUUGUAAUUUGUUGAUAAAUUCCUAUUUCUUAAUAAAAUGAAUACCACUUAAAAAAACCAGGAAACAAUUAACAUUGCUCAACAUUCGUUCAAUCCAAUAAAUAAAAUUUAAAAAAUACAUAAAAAGUCCAAUGUGAUACAUAAUAAAGCAUCUCAGAAUUUAAAAAAAAAAACAUCUCAAAAUAUAAAACAACUAUUAAAUUCCAAUGCAUCUACAACAAAAGCAACUAAAAUUCCAGCCACUAAGCCAAGUUUCUCAACAAAAAUUGCAAAGAUUAAUGCAAGACUUCUAAGAGUUCUAGCUCUCUUAACUUCAGCCACAAAGCCAAGUUUCUCGACACUCCAAUUCCAGCCAUGCUAGCAAUACUCCAACCCAUAUCCAGCAACCCACCAUCUUGUAAUAGCGCUCUGAUUCCAGCCAUAUAUCUAGCAACAAUCCAACCCAAACCCAGCAAACCAAUAUGCAAAAUUAAUCAAAAUACACAAAGUUAUCAAAUGCAUAACAUCUACAGUACAAUCCUUAACAAGUAAGUCAUUUCUUACAUCCGCAGUCAAGGAGUCUUUUUGGUCCUCCUUUAGCUUUUCCUAACACCGCACCAUAAAGAAACUAAUAUUGUUAAAUCAGCAUAGAUGUAAUAUCAUAACAGUUUUUGUUCUAGUUAAACUUGAUUACCAAAAUCUUAAUGACUUGUUCAGUGUCAAGGUCGUAUCUUCCAUUCUUCAGCAUCUGAGCUCUCUUCCAUAGCUCACUCCUAUCAUUUAAGUCUUCAGUGAAGGACAACAUUUGUCCAUGAGGUUCCUAAAAUCGCAACUUUUGCGCAGUAAAAUUAAAACGGACGGCGGAAGCUCUAGAAACCUCGGAUCGGCUUCAUUCAAAAACGAAAAUCAAGAGGAAAGAUUGAAGUUUAAUUACCUCACUUGCAGUUUCGAAAAAGACUUCGUGAGGUAGGAGAAAACGACUGAAAACAGCAAGCUACGAACACUGUCCAGAAAACACAGCUCUGCACGAACAGCUUCUGUUUUGCCACGAUCUGAGAUCCUUAAAGCACCCCAAUUGUGAUGCCUCUAAUUAUUCCACACUUAGAAAUUUUCUAGGAGUUCAUAGAAUUUGGAAUCUCGAAAUUUCGUUUAGAAAUGAGAGAGAUAAUCAAGAAACAUGAAUGCUAGCUCAUGAUGAUUCAUCCCCACAAAUAAAGCUCCCAUUAUGUCUAAUAAUGGCACCAAACAUUAUCAUGUGCUAGACCCACCCACUUAGCUAUUAUUUAUUGAAAGUGAUCUUAUCACUUAAAUAAAUUAUUUAAUCAAAUAAAUAAAUAGCUAAAUUAAUUAAUUUCGUAAUUAAUUAAUUAACCCCAUUUUGAUCAAAUCAAAUGGUUAAAUGUGGGCUCAUUUUGUGACAUGUUCUAAUGCUUUCUCUUAAUCCAUAUUAGAUCCAAUAAAAGCCCAAAAUUCUAAACCCAAAAUUGGUCUAGAAGUCCAUAAUCAUAUAUGAACCCGAACAUGUCCAAAAUGGUCAUUUUACAUGCUCGAUAUUAGAUAAUGUUUAAUGGAGGAUUUACGAAAUUUAUUUUGUUCCUUAAACUAUUUAUGGAACAUCUAAAUUUCUAUCUUAAAUCAUAUUUAAGAUAUAUUUAUAUAUAUAUUCAUUCUUAAUGAAUUUUAAUAUAAAUAUUGAUUUUCCUAAAAUUAGGAAAUUUAACUUCUCAUUUUCUAGUAACUCCUUUUUCAUUUCUAUUUAGUGUGUGACCUUUUAGGUUCUUAGUUAUAAGGUAGUAGAACUAUUUUAAUGAUAACUCUUUAUUCAUUAAAUGAUGCUAAACUCUUUAGUCAUCAAUUAGAACUCUUCUAAUGACCUUAAGAUGCAUUGAUAAUACGCUUUACCAAUAUUGAUCUUAAGGUUUCUACAAGUCAUGAGUGACACCUAGCAGUAUAUCACAACCAUCCAAAUAACAAGAAUUGUUGGAUCUAUAGAACCUAUUCCAUUGUAUCUCUAUGUCUUGGUCUCUUCAUCAUCCAUGUCCAAAGAAAAGCACGGCUUAUGGUUUAUUAUGUUAAGCAGUUAUGCUUUAUCUCAAAAUAAAUCUAAAUGAACUUGACAUGAAAAUAUAAUUUGAACUCCUUCAAAUAUAUUUCACCUUGGCCAAGGAUUUCUCAUGCCAAUUCAUAUUAUCUUAUAGGGACAUCCUUUUUGUAUAUUACAAAGUGAUGAAUUCCAUAUUGGCCAUACACUUGUCUUCAUACAUAGCCAACCAUGACAGCUAUUGCUAGAUCUCUUCCUUGAUUAGGAAUCAAUCAUUAUGCUUUCACAUAUCAGAGAUGUCUAUGUAUAAGACAUCUGUUAUGCCUCAGGUCUAAAGACCAUUACUAAACAUAGUGUCUAAUACAAUGUAUAAUAAGCCAUUAACACUCAAAACCAUAUGGCUUACUAUAUUUGGUCAAGUUUAGUAAACUCGUUCUCUCAACAAGUACCUAUGUGUUUGACUUGACAUCUCAUGUCAAUGAUAUGAAACUCACCAUCCUUUUUAGUAUCACAUACCAUAAGGAGUCAUAACACAUACAAGUGUUUAUAGGAAUUUAUAAUGUCCAAUCAUAAAUCCACCACUAGGAACUAUUUUAGAAGUAUAGUACAAAGGAUGCACGUUUCAUAUUCUCGACAAACUCGAGAAUGUGUUCCUUAACUAUUUUACUUCUUGGACUAUAUUCAUUAAAUUAAUUUAUGAAUAUUGAUAACUUUGCCAUUUUAUAAAUAUCAAAAUGCUAUUCAAAUACAAUAAUUCCCUAAACAAUCAAACACCAUUUGAUUGGCCUUUAGGGCAUAUUACUAACAUUCAGAAAGACUAGAUUCUGCAUGCUCGAUAAAGAAAUUAGAUUAGUUAACUAUUAAAAAAAUUUAUAGUUAAAAAUACCCUUUAUACCGAUAUAUACACACUUACAAUUUCUUUCAUUAAUCCAACAUAUCUUUUUCGAUUAAGAUGGUGAUUACACUGGUUCAAAGCUCUCCUAUUCUUAUUGACACAACUGAUUUUCUGUAUAAUAAGAAACAUCUUUUUAACAAUGUAAAUAUGAUGUAACUAUUAGCUUAUUACUCCUAACUUUAAAAUACUUACUUUAAAUGAUUUGGACAAAUUUUCGUCGACAAAUUUUAUUCAAACAUGCCUCUUUAUUUGGGGGUAAUCAAUUGGCAGUGAAUACAGUUCCUUUUUAUCAUUUUUGAACUUCCAAAUAUAGUUUUUUGUUUGCAUAUACUUGAAGUUUCGAAAUGUUGUUCUGAUUGAUUGUCUACUUGCUUCCUACUUCUAGGAUGAACAAUGAAACAAACCUAAAUAUGGAGGAAGAUUGUUAAAAUGUCAAUUAAUAAAAAAUCCAAAUCACAUAACUGAUAAGUGAAAAAUGACAACAAAAGGUUUAAGUAGAAUGCAACGAGUUUUUCAAGAAUUACAAGAACAAUUUCCACAAAUGCUCCUUUGUCUCUGGAGGAACCUUACACCAAUCGGAAUAAAGAAUUGAAACUAAAGUACAAGCCAAUACACCAAGAAAAGAGUCAACUUAGUGGCUUCAUCCCUUGUCAAAACACCCAUUUCAUUGUAUUACACCACAAUCUUUCCCUUUUUUGUUUUAAGUCUUUUAUUUUGCCUAGCACCCAUAUUCACACCCUUAUGGAGUUACUACUUUUAGGAACAUCAACAUUAGGAGCAACCAAAUUAGCACCAUCUGAAACACUAACUAGGCAACCCAAGAGGGGGGUGAAUUGGGAAUUAAAAAAUUAAAUAAAGCAAUCCACACAACAAUCCAAUAUAAUGCCUUAAUGGAAUAAAAAAUAAUAAAUUCAACAGAUCACAAUAAUAAAAUAGUAAGGGAAGAGAAAAACAAACACAAGGAUUUUUAUGUGGUUCAGUAACCUCUGCCUACGUCUAUGCCUCUAAGCUCACUCGGCUUGAGGAUUUCACUAUCCAAGCCUCCUAAGGCUUCAAAUGCUUACAAUUGACUUCCAAUGUGUCAAUGGACCUUUAUAACAAGAGAUUAUCCCUAAUCUCUCAAUCCAAGUGUAUCACAAUACUUUCAACCUCUCAACUUGAUUUUACAAAAAGGAUUACAAAUGAAUUUCUCUCACACAAUGUGUUUGAUCACAAAUAAAAGCUCAAUGUAUGAAUGAAUGAGAUGAAUACAAGAAUCUAAAACUCAAUGAAAGUUGUUUGCUCAAUAGCUUGCUCAAUGACAAUAGUUGGAAUCACUGUUAUUUGUGUUUAAGUGAGCCUUUUUAUAGUUUGAGCUGAAAACUAGCCGUUAGAGAUAAUUUGCUCGAAGUCGGAUCGCUGUUAUCUUGAAGUCGGAUCGUCGUUUUGACUUGAGCAAGUUACCGUUGGACAGAUUUUUAAAUUGUCGGAUCGUUGUUUUCAAGAUGUCGGAUCAAUGUGGGCUAGCCGUUAUCAAGAUGUCAGUUAGCCUUUUGCUACAGUAACUGCUACAGUGAAUUAUUUUCCAUAAUUAUAGUUUUACCUCAAAACUUUAUAAAAUUAUACUAUAGCCUAAAACUAUAUGAAACUUCUCAAAUAAGGUCAUUUCCAGAAUUUUAAGCAAUACUUGUUAUUUCAAAGUUUUUAAAACUUUUCAAUUAGAUCAUGAACUUGAAGAACAACUAAUUUCAUAAAAUCAUUUUUCUAUUAAAUAUAAAACAUUUAUAUUAUGAAGAUAAUAAUUUAUUUAAAAAGCAUGAAAAAUAAUUUGAGCUUUUAAAAACUUAAUCAUUCUUAAUUUUAUUUGUUAUCAUCAAAAUCAAUAUUAUGGAUACAUAAAUGUUAACACCAUCUCUCUUAACACCAUCCAAAUCAUAUCCUCCCAAAUCAGCACCAUCAAAAUCACCUCCAUCUAUCUCAGCACCAGCCAAUUCAGCAACACCAUCCAAAUCAACCUCAUCUUUUUCACCUUCUAAAUCAACAUUAUUAGCAAAUAAGGUGUAGUAAUCAUCUUUUAAAUUAUAGUCCUGAUCAAAAGCACCAUCAACCAUAGUAUAUUUUCCCUUAGCCAUAUUACUGCCCCUGAAAUAAACAAAUGAAUAACAUUAGUUAAAUGAUUUUAUCAAACUAUAUAACAAUCAAUCAACUGCACGAACAAAAAGCUAAUCAAUUUAAUAUCAUAUAAAUUUGUAACCCAAAAAUAACAUACGGUAAAUAGUUAAAAAAACACUUACUGUAAAAAGCUAAUCAAUUUGUAACCCAAAUUCCCUUUUUGUUGUUACAUGCAUAGAUCAUUCAAUCGCCGUUAGUGGAAUAUACAAAUCAUUAGUUGGUAAUUUUGUAGUGAGUGGAGGAUAUUCUAUCACAUUAUUAACUUCAUCUUCAUUUAUUUGUUUGGGUUACUUCUAAUUGGCAUAUGACAUACAAUAGACCAUUUUGUUUGAAUUUGAUCAUUUAUAUAAAAUACUUGCUUGGCUUAAGAAGCUAAUAUAAAUGGACUAAAUUUAUAUCCUAAUCUGUUUAAGUCUACUAAGAUGAAUCCAAGCUCAUCUUUCUUGAGCAACUGUUUUGAACCCAAUCACACUUUAACACAGGGACUGUUAACAAAUGAUAGUCAAGUACUUAAAUCUUUAACUAUAACUCCAUAAUAUGUCAUGUCACAUAUUUCAUAAUCAACUACACUAACUCCACUAUUUUGAGUUACACGACUUGAGUCUCGGUCUCGUGUAACAAAAUGGAAACCAUUGACGUGGUAACCCUUACCUUUAGUUACAAAAAGAAAAGGCCCCUAUGAUAACCAAUGUAAGGUAUCCGAUACAUGAUCACCCUUUUCAAUUACAUCAUAUACCUAGCAUCAGAAAAAGGAUAAGUAAAUAUCUUCGCAAGGUGGGGGGAAAAAGGGAUUGACAAACUUUGUAAAAAUUAAUGAUAUAUAUGCUUCAACCUUAUUAGCUAGCCAAUCAAAAAAUGUACAAUUGUGUUCCUCUUGCAAUCCUUGUCAUUUUGAUGUGGAUAACAUGUUUUAAGCUAAUCCAUAUGGUCACUAAAGAUUCAAAACAUGAAAAAUUAGGUUUCAGAUUAGAAAAUAAAACAUAUAGAUUUGAUUAUAACAAAUCAAGCAAAUUACCUAAUUUAUGGUACAAUUUCUUGUGUGCUAUGCAAGAUGUACAUGUGUGCUUCAUCUAGCAAAUUUGUAGGAAUUUGUACCACUUUCCGACCACAUAAUGGCUUAUCUUUUGAUAGCUUUUGCAUAUGUUGAGGUGGAACCCCAACUGUACUCAUGUUUGACAUAUAUUCUGCACAAAAUUCUAAUGCUUCUUCCGCAAUAUAAUUCUCCACUAUACAACCCUCAGGACGGUUACAGUUUUAGACAUAACGUUUAAAGGUUUUCAUGUAUCUUUCAAAUGGAUACAUCCACCGAAGAUAAACUAGGCUACAUAAUCUAACUUCAUUAACUAAAUGCACAGUCAAGUGCACCAUAAUGUCAAAGAAUGAAGGAGGACAACAUUUUUCUAACAAGCAUAAGGUCACCACAUGGUUUGCCUGUAAUUUAUCCAAUGUUUUCACAUCAACCACAUUGGAACACAACAAAAUAAAGAAGCAACACAGCUUGAUCAAAGCUUCUUUCACAUGUUUUGGCAAGACAUACCUAAUGGCAAUAGGUAAAAGUUGUUGCAUAAGAACAUGGCAGUCAUGUGACUUUAGGCCCUAAAGUUUAAGGUUCUUUAUUGACACAAGAUUUCUAAUGUUUGAGGAAUAUCCAACAGGAACUUUAAUACUUUUCAAAGCUUUGCAGAACUUUGUCUUUUCAUCUUUAGUUAAUGUGUAACAAGCUUUAGGAAAGAAGGUGUGCUUGUUCUUUUUUAAAGUUGGUGCUAGUUCACUCCUAAUUUUUAAGUCCACAAGAUCAUUCUUUAACUUAAGACCAUCUUUAGUCUUUCUCGGAAUAUGGAGUAGUGUUCUAUAGAUGCUUUUGCACACAUUCUUUUCAAUAUACAUAACAUAUAAUUAAUGACGCACAAGUAAAUGCUUCCAAUACUCUAAAUUAUACAAUGUAAAUUUUUUUCCACCAUAUACAGUCAUCAUUGUCGAAACCUUUGCAUUUUAAUGACUUGUUCUUCCCCUCUAUAAUCAAUAGACUGAACCAACCGUAAAAUACCCUUACCAUUCAACAGUUUUGGAGCAAACUCUCUCUCUAUUGUGUUGUCAAAGGCUUUACAUUGGUCACGGAAUUCGUGACCAUAAGGAAGCCAAUAACAGUGGCUGAUAUAUGCAUUUUUACCACUGUGUUUAAGUCUACAUAAUACUACACCACAAUAUGGACAAGCAUUAUAUUCUUUAACAGUGUAACCAGCUAGAUUUCCAUACGCCGAAAAGUUGUUUAUAACACAGCCCGUAUAUUAAAAAACUCCUUUCUAUAGGCAUUAUAAGCGUCCACCACAACUUCCAACAAAGUUUUCCAAUCUUCUUUCAGAGGUGCUAAGUACAUAUCAAUGUCAUUGAACAGUUGUUGAGGACCAAAAAUCAGUAUGGACAACAUCAUGAAUUUUCAUUUCAUAUACAACCAUAGAGGAAGAUUGUACAUUAUCAGAAUAACUGGCCAACGAUUAUAUGUACUACUAAGAGAGCUAUGCGGAUUUACUCCAUCAGUUGAUAAGGCAAGGCGAAGAUUUCUAUAAUCUAAUGUAAAAGUUGGUCAUUUGCUAUCUAAUAAUUUCCAUGAUGGUGAGUCUGCCGGGUGUCGGAGCUUACCAUCACCGACUCUCUCAUUUGCAUGCCAAGUCAAGUCUUUGGCAAUUUGUGAGAAUUGAAACAUGCGCUUAAAUCUAAAUAUAGGCGGAAAAUACCAUUAAAGCUUCACAAGACCCCAUUUCUUAUACUGGUCAACACAACCUUUUUUUUUUCCAUUUAGAUAAACCACAACUAGGACAUUCACAGAGCCUUUCAUACUCUUUUCUGUAGAGCAUGCAAUCAAUUGGGCACAUCAUCUGAUAAUUUGAUCUGCAUAAUACUUGAAUAGAUAAGGGUCAUCCCAAAAGAAAUUCUUUACUUUUGCAAAGAAUUUAGCCUUGUCUUGCUUGGUUCAAUGCUCUGGAAGUUAACCUGUAACAAGAUAAUUAACUAUAUUAGCAUACCACGGUAAUACUUCCACAUUCAUUAAUUAUUCAUCUAGAAAUGACUCAUUCAAUAUCAAUGGUUCUGUAAUUAUGUCAAAAUUGAGACGAGAGAGAUGGUCUGCCACGACAUUUUUUGUGCUUUUCUUAUCUUUAAAUUCCAAGUCGAAUUCCUACAAAAGUAACACCUAGCGAAUUAGCCUAGCUUUUGCAUCUUUGUUUGUGAGAAGAUAUUUAAGAGCAGCAUGAUCUGUGAAUAUAAUUAUUUUACAACCAAUGAGAUAAGAUCAAAAUUUCUCUAAUGCAAACACUACUGCUAGCAUUUAUUUUUCAGUAGUUGAAUAAUUCAACUGUGCAUCAUUCAAUGUCAUACUAGCAUAGUAAAUAACAUGGGAAAUUCGAUCAACUCUUUGUCCUAAUACUGCUCCUACUGCAUAAUCAGAUGCAUCACACAUGAGCUCAAAUGCUAAGCUCUAGUUUGGGGGCUGAAUGAUGGGUGAUGACUGUUAGUGUAUAAAUAUUAAUGCUAUUGGUGUCAAUGUGCAAGUGUACACAACAAGUAAUAAAGUGAUGAGUAUUCAAGAUCGUCUCCACAGGGAUUGAUGUUAUCACAUUUGCUAUAGCAAUCUUAACAGUGCAGAUUUUGUGCUAAAAUAAAAUAAAACAAUUAAUGAAACUAAUAUACUAAUUAAAAUAAAAACGCAAUAAAUAAAAUGCAACAAAGUAAAUUAUCACGUCAAUCUCAAGGAUAAAACUAAUAGGAAUAUAAAGUAGUUGAGUGAAUAAACUCUCCUAAUGGUCUAGACUAUUUUCUAAUGGUUGGCUCGAUUGCUGCAGUAUUUGCUACAUCACUGGGCAGAAUCCUUAUGUAUCCUCAGCCGUCGCAUGUUGGAUAUCUUAUAUCUAUAUGCAACCUAACAAUGAUCAGAUGUUAUGCCAACAUAAGAUAUAGCAUUACACGCUUAGGUUCUAUUUACCCUACAAGGUGAAUCCCUAUGUCUAGUUCAUCACUAAUUUUAGAUUAAGCAUGGCCCUUUUGGGAUAAGUUAAACUCAAUCCAGGAAACUCAAUCUAAAACCAAGUAUUGCUCUGAUAUGUCCAUUAAGAUAGGCCCUUUUGCGGCUCUCUCCUAACUUGUAUCAUUAAAUGGGUAAUCAACCAAAACAAUGAAUAAAAAUAAAUACUAUCAAAACAAACUGCUACAACAAACAUGCAGCAACACAUAUAUUCAGUCAAUAAACCAUCAAGAUUGUUUAUCACUCAACCACAAAUAAAUUUAGUUCACGGUUUGCAAAAGAAAAAUAAAUAACAAAGUUUCAGCCAUGAAACACAUCCCCAUAAAUAAAUAAAAAAACGAGAAAACAAGAGAAGAAUAAGAAGGUUUGAGCUCCCAAUUGAUUUCUGCAAAUUCUCCUCUUGUGUAGCCUUCAAUCUCUCUCUUGAAUCUUCCUUUUCUUUUGUUUCUUUAUGUUUUUCUCCUUGGGUGAUGGCUCUCCUCUUUCCUUAUGAUGUGUGCUUCUUUUAUAGUUGAAAAUUAGGGUAAACGGAAGCCUAGGUCACGCAUAAGUUAGAUUAGGAAACUGCAGAUCGCAAUUCUGCAAGUAUCCCGCACGGAAUUUUCUCUGUCGUUGUUCCAGGAUUGCUACAGCAAUGGCUACAGCAACUGCACUGUUCCAGAUUUGUUUCAAUUCUUUUAUAACCAUGUUCUUCCUCUUUUUUGCCAGCCUAUUGCAUCAGCAUUCCUUCCAUGAAUUAUAAGCUUCUAGAAACCUACAAUUAUGCACACAAUUUAAGCACGAAUUACUUUAGAUCAAGCAAAACUCAUUAAGACUAAACUAAAAUGAAUAUUUAUGUAAAAUGUAACAAAAAAUGCAAUAGAAACACAUCAUUUACUCUAUAAGUAAUAUUAAUUUAAGUCUAAAAGUGCUACGAUAACUCUCAUUUCAUAGAGUUAUCAAUGACAUCAACAACUGUUUCAAUUUUUCAAAUGCCACAAGACAUGAAUCAUCAAAGAUAAAAGGUUCAUCCUUAGCAAGUAGAUUGCAUAAGGGUCUAGAAACUUUACUAAAAUCUUUAAUGAAACGUCUAUAAAAUCCAGCAUGCCCAAAGAAAGAUCUUACUUCUCUAACUAUUUUAGGUGGAGGAAGUUUGGAAAUAAGAUCCAACUUGGCUUUGUCAACCUCAAUACCUUUGUUCAAAAUGAUGUGACCAAGAACAAUACCUUGUUUUACCAUAAAAUGACACUUCUCCCAAUUUAAGACUAAGUUCUUCUCGAUACAUCUCUGCAGAACUAGUUUUAGAUGAUGUAACCAUUGAUAAAAUGAAUCACCAAAGAAAUAAAAGUCAUCAAUAAAGACUUCAAGGAAUCGUUCAACCAUAUCAGAAAAAAUACUUAACAUGCAUCGUUGAAAUGUAGCAGGAGCAUUACAUAAUCCAAAUGGCAUUCUCCUAUAUGCAAAAGGGCAAGUGAAAGUGUUCUUAUCUUGAUCUUUUGGUGCUAUGAGAAUCUGAUUGUAUCCUGAGUAGCCAUCUAGAAAGUAAAAAAAUUCAUGGCCUGCUAAUCUAUCAAGUAUUUGAUCGAUAAAUGGUAAAGGAAAAUGGUCUUUACGUGUGACAGAAUUCAACUUUCUAUAAUCAAUGCAUACACGCCAUCUAUAGUUACUCUAGUUGGUAUCAAUUCAUUAUUAGCAUUGGUAACUUCUGUGACUCCUGACGUUUUGGGGACAACUUGCACAGGACUGACGCAUGAACUAUCAAAAAUGGGAUAAAUAAUACCUGCAUCUAAUAGUUUAAGGACUUCAUUUCUAACAACUUCUUUCAUGUUAGGAUUUAACCGACGUUGCAUUUCCCUAGUAGGCUUAGCAUUUUCAUCAAGGUGAAUGUAAUGCAUGCAAUAUACUGGGUUUAUACCUUUUAUGUCUCCUAUGGUCCAUCAUAAUGCUCCUUUGUGUACUUUUAAUACUUCCAACAACUUACCUUUUUGUUCGUCAUUUAGGGAUGAUGAGAUGAUUACCUGUAGAGUGCUUUCUUCUCCCAAAAAUGCAUAUUCCAAAGUGUUGGGUAAUAGUUUAAGCUCGAGUUUCGGUGGUGAUUCUGAUGAUGGGUUGAGUUUCUUCUCUGAUGGUGCUAGUUGUUCAACUCUUGACUUCUAUUUAUUAGUGUUCAUGGAUGGUGCUGAGUCAAGUAGGGCGUUGAUCUCAUCGACUGAUCUAUCAAUAUCAAAAUCCAAACCAAAGUGAGUUAAACAUGUUUGUAAAGAAUCAUCACUAAGGUUUGAAAGAAAAGUAUUAUCAACUAAUGUUUCUAUUAAAUCCACAUUAACAAUUCCAUCAUCUGCAUUGUGAGGUUGUUUGGUAAUGUUGAAGAUAUUUAGCUCCAUAGUCAUGUUGUCAAAGGACAACUGUAUAUUUUCAGUCCUGCAUUGAAUGUGAGCAUCGGCAGUUGCCAAGAAGGGUCGGCCUAGGAUAAAAGGGAUGUACUUCCUUGAAUCAUGUAUUGGUUGAGUGUCAAUUACAAUGAAAUCAACAGGAAAAUAAAACUUGUCUACCUGGAUAAGCACGUCCUCCACAAUACCACGAGGUAUUUUGGUAGACCGAUCUGCAAGUUGUAACACCACUGGAGUUGGGUGUAAUUCUCCUAGUCCAAGUUUCACAAACACUAAGUAAGGUAACAGAUUUACAUUAGCUCCUAAGUCCAAUAAAGCAUUCUCAAUUGUGUGGUUUCCUAUGCUACAUGAGAUAGUGGGGGAGCCUAGGUCUUUGCAUUUUAGAGGAAUUUUGUGUUGGAGUAUCGAACUAACGUUUUCUAUUAAAAAGGCCUUUUUUUGAACAUGAAUAUUUCUCUUUUUAGUACAAAGGUCUUUAAGAAACUUGGCAUAAGAUUGCACUUGUUUUAUAGCAUCAAGCAAAGGGAUAUUAAUAUUUACCUGUUUGAAGAUUUCAAGAAUCUCACUUAUGGAUUUUCCCUUCUUUCCUUUAACUAACCUCUGAGGAAAUGAAGCUUUAGGAUUGUAUUCUCGUGGGUUGGUUUCUUCUUUCUCCUCUGACGGUGAGUCCUCAACGUUCACAUGUACACUUUGAUUUGUUUUCGUCACCGACAUCUCUACUUUAUUGUCGACUUCUUUCCAUUUUCGCAAGGUCAUAACGGCUUUGACCUCUCCAUGCUGCUGUAGUGAACUGGUACUUACUUCAUGUACUCUUUUAGGAUUGGGCAUAGGUUGACUUGGGAAUUUGCCUUUCUCAGCAAUCAUUACCAAAGUUUAAACUGAAGAGGCAAGCUGUCCCACCAUCUUCUCGAGGUUUGAAACUGAUUGGGCUUGUGAGUUGAAGCCUGCUCUCAUCUCAUUUCGUAUUUCAUCAAUGGUCCGAUUCUGUUGCUCGAUCAUGGAGUGAGUAAGAUUUUUUAAGUACUGGAAUGCAUCCUCCCAUGGUCUGGAUUGAGAGUAGUUCGGGUUUUGAUUGUAUGGUCUAAAUGGGGGCUGAGAUACUUGAGGAACUUGAGGAAUUGAUUGCAUUAGUGGAGUUGGAGCUGUUGGUCCAUUUUGUUGGAAUCCUUGAGACCAUGAAAAAUUAGGGUGGUAUCUCCAUCCAAGGUUAUAUGUGUUGGAAUAUGGGUUGUAAUUUGAUGGCUUUCUCAUUACUCCUAUGGCAUUGGCUUGAUCUGAGUAUGAGUCAUGGUCAUGUGCUUCUUGUGAUUUAGCAGUCUUUAAUGAUGCUAUUUGUCGAGAAAGUCCAUCAACCAUUUCUUUGACUUCUUUAAUUCCUGAACUUGACUCGCCAAUGUGAACCUCAUUUAAUCCUUUAAUCCUUUUAGUAUUCCCGAGUGAUCGACUCCGUUGUUGGGAAUUAUCCGCUUGUCACUGGAAGAAAUCCCAAAUCUCUGAAGCACUUUUUGACAUUAGCUCUCCUCCACUUGUUGUCAUUAGCCAUUCUUGCACAUGUGGCAAAAAUCUCUCCAAAAAGUAUUGGCAUUGAUGUCAUUUCUCACACCCAUGAUGUGGACACUUCAAGAGUAGCCCAUUGAAUCGCUCUCAUGUUUCGAAAAACUGCUCGUCUUCUCUCUGGGUGAACUCUGAAAUUUCCCUAUGAAUAGCAUUAGUUUUAUGCAUUGGAAAAUAUUUAUUCAAAAAUUUUGUUCCCAUGAUGUUAUACUAUUACCAGGCAAUGUAUUGAGUAAUGAACGAGCUCUAUCCUUUAAAGAAAAUGGGAAUAAUAUGAGUUUAACAUCAUCGUCUGAAAAUUCUCAUAUUUAAAAGUUUGACAAACAGCAUGAAAAUCAUUCAGAUGAUUAUAUGGGUCCUCAUUUUCUAGGCCAUAGAAUGUUGGGAGACAAUUUAGCACACUAGGUUUUAAUUCAAAACUCCUAGCAACUACAUUUGGAUAUCUUAUGCAUGAUGUGCGCAAAUUAGCUAAGGGACUGAAAUAGUCUUUAAAUGGCCUCUCUUGUGGUGCUUCUUGUUGUUUUUGCAAAUCCAUUUCAAUUUUAUCUUUAAUUACAACGUGUUUGUGUGUCGAAGUGUUUUCUCGAGUUCAAGGUCUAUAGGCUCAAGAUUAGGUAAUAAUGACCUUCGACCAUGCAUGCAAACAACACAAAAAUAAAUGGGAACAAAAUAAUUAAAAAUAAAGAAGAAUGAGAAAUUAUGAUACUAAUCUUAUCGCGUUGUUACAACCUUACUAUAAAAACAUACUAAAAAAAAUACGUGAAAUAAAUUAACGAAAAAUAAAUUAAUAAGAUAAACGAAAAAUUACAAAGAAAAAUAAAAAAUAAAAUUACAGAAUUUUAAAGAAUAAAGAAAGAAAAGAAAUUCUUACCUCUAAAUGUAGAUUCACUUUUUUUUUUAAAUAAGAAAAAUUACAACAAAACAAUUAAAAGAAAUUAUUUACAAAAUUAAUUCUACGAAUUAAAAUAACUUACCUCCCCAGCAACGGCGCCAAAAACUUGUUGUGCAAAUUUUAUUGAACUCGCAAGUACACGAAUCUAUUGUAGAAGAGAUUAAUGGUGACGAGUGUCGAUCCCACGAGGAGGUAGAUUUUAAUUAUGUGUAGAAUUAAUUUUCUAUGUGGGUGGUUGGAUUUGUGGUGAAAAUGAUUUGGACUAUCCUAAAAUUUAAAUUAGAAUGUCGAGAAUAAAUUGAAGAGAAAUCUAUUAAAAUGACGUACUUGGGUAUCUGGAUCUGCGUCAACAUGCACCAUGGGCUAAAUAUUUCUUAUUAAUGCCAAUAAAUCAUGAGGGGGGAUUCCACACCUCAUGAACCACACUCUAAUCAAUAUGGUGCUAAGGGUUUAUCGUGCCAAAUAAUAAUAACCUUGUAUUAGGGAGUCGGUGAAACCAGGGCAGUAUCUAGACAAGAUUAUUACUAUUUGCCGACGAAAAGUCAAAACAUCCACAAAAAUUAGAGGGGAAGAGAAAGUAAAUUUACUAAUUAAAGCCCAUGGCACAUGUUGAGACUUCACCUUCAACCCAAGUUUGAAAGAAAAUUAGCUACUCAUAAUUGAAUUAGGGGUAAAUGGGAAUUUAUUAAAAUACGUAGAAAAUACAAGAUGGAGAAAGAAUUACUGAAAAUGAAGCUCAAAAAUGAAUUCAGAGAUCCCAAAUUAGGGGGGGAGCCCCCCUUUUUAUAGAUACACUGAGUAAAUCACGGCCAUCGGAUUAAAAAUAUUUGGAUGCUUAGGAUUGUGCCACGUCAUCAGUAAACAGUACGCGGUUUGACCAUGUGGUUUGAAUAGUGACACGGUUUGACCACGCUGUUUGAACAGUCAGGCGACUUGAAUAGUGACGCGAUUUGGUUGAAAAUAACCUUGUGUAUAUGCAUGUACCGUACCCACAAUUUUUGGUCCACUAAUAUGCUGCCACGUUACCAACCAACAGUGCAUAAGAAUUUUAGUCCAAUGGAAUCGUGACACCUCAUCAGUCAAUGCCACAUCAUCGGUCAAUGCUACGUCAUCGUUGCGUAUGUGUGAAUAAUAACAUGGACAGUAUCGUGUAUGUGAAUAGUACCGUACAUGUGAACAGUGUCAUCAGUAAACAGUACGCGGUUUGACCAUGUGGUUGGAAUAGUGACACGGUUUGACCACGCUGUUUGAACAGUCAGGCGGCUUGAAUAGUGACGCGAUUUGGUUGAAAAUAACCUUGUGUAUAUGCAUGUACCGUACCCACAAUUUUUGGUCCACUAAUAUGCUGCCACGUUACCAACCAACAGUGCAUAAGAAUUUUAGUCCAAUGGAAUCGUGACACCUCAUCAGUCAAUGCCACAUCAUCGGUCAAUGCUACGUCAUCGUUGCGUAUGUGUGAAUAAUAACAUGGACAGUAUCGUGUAUGUGAAUAGUACCGUACAUGUGAACAGUGUCAUUUUUCCUUUUAUGCUUCUCCUAAGGUUUUCGACUGUCCUAAGUUCGAAAGUGAUGUCCGUUUUGCUGUCUGAUCUCUUAUUCAUUUUGAAAUGACCAUGAUGCCCCUAAAAUACAUAAAAUACUUAAUUAAAAUACAAUACACAUAAUUAAAUCACAAGGAUGUUAAAUUCAUAAAAGUAAAGGUGUUAGUAAAACUUAUAGUGUAAAAUGAUGAUUUUCUCCUUUAUAAAUAUACAUUUUCUAACACUCAACACACCCCCCAACCAGCUUAUUGCUAGUCCUUAGCAAAUAAAGCGAAAACAAAAUUCAAAACCAAAAUGAUUUUUUAUUUUUAUUUUUAUUUAGAAACACUCGUAUUUAUUCAAUCAGAUUAAUGAUAGUAAUCAAAUAAAAGUAUAAGCAUUAUCUCCAGCUUAAAGCAAUAUCACACCCACAUCAACCAUCCCCAUGAAUCAGCCCAGUAGACUUUGUCAUAGCUACUUUCAAGAAUGACAUGUUAAACCCCAAAAUCUCACUGGAAGUAGUGACACUCUCACAAANNNNNNNNNNNNNNNNNNNNNNNNNNNNNNNNNNNNNNNNNNNNNNNNNNNNNNNNNNNNNNNNNNNNNNNNNNNNNNNNNNNNNNNNNNNNNNNNNNNNNNNNNNNNNNNNNNNNNNNNNNNNNNNNNNNNNNNNNNNNNNNNNNNNNNNNNNNNNNNNNNNNNNNNNNNNNNNNNNNNNNNNNNNNNNNNNNNNNNNNNNNNNNNNNNNNNNNNNNNNNNNNNNNNNNNNNNNNNNNNNNNNNNNNNNNNNNNNNNNNNNNNNNNNNNNNNNNNNNNNNNNNNNNNNNNNNNNNNNNNNNNNNNNNNNNNNNNNNNNNNNNNNNNNNNNNNNNNNNNNNNNNNNNNNNNNNNNNNNNNNNNNNNNNNNNNNNNNNNNNNNNNNNNNNNNNNNNNNNNNNNNNNNNNNNNNNNNNNNNNNNNNNNNNNNNNNNNNNNNNNNNNNNNNNNNNNNNNNNNNNNNNNNNNNNNNNNNNNNNNNNNNNNNNNNNNNNNNNNNNNNNNNNNNNNNNNNNNNNNNNNNNNNNNNNAUAUGCUGCUACGUCACCAUCAACAGUACAUAAGAAUUUUAGCCAACCAGGAUCGUGACACCUCAUCAGUCAAUGCCACAUCAUCCGUCAAUGCCACAUCAUCGAUCCGUCUAUGUGAACAGUGUUGUGAAUAAUAACGUAGUUAGUACCGUACACGUGAAUAAUACCGUACAUAUGAAUAGUGCUAUUUUUCCUUUUAUGCUCCUCCUAAGGUUUUUGACCGUCCUGAGUUCAAAAGUGAUGUCCGUUUUGCCGUCUCCUUUAUUGUGAAAUGACUAUAAUGCCCCUAAAAUACAUAAAAUACUUAAUUAAAAUAAAACACAUGUAAUUAAAUCACAAGAAGGUUAAAUACAUAAAAGUAAGGGUUGUUAGUAAGACUUGAAAUGUAAAAUGACGGUUUUCUCCUUUAUAAAUAUGCAUUUUCUAACACUCAACAUCAGACCACCCAAAUUUACCUUUUAUAUUGAAGAAGCUAACUAAAGUGCCUAACUUAGUGAAAUUUGUGCAUCCUUGGUAUAAAGAUUUCUCAACAUAUUCUAGAAGUUCUUUAAAUGCUUUAGGACCCACAACACAAUCCUUAUAAGCAUCGUUAACGAUAUCUACUGUGUUACCAUUAUCGUAGUCCAUGAACUCAAUCAAAACAUCUACUCCUACAUUAAAAAGUGGUGCGUCAUGGACAUCUUCCCCAUGCCAAUUCCAGGUUGUGUAAGAAACAUCAAAACCAUGAAAAUAUAAAUGUUUGCGAACAACCUUAUGUGUACAAAAUGAUAAACUCAUACAUUUAAUACAUGGACAUCUAAUGACACUACUGGCUUCGGCAUUAAGAAUAGCAAACUUCAUAAAUUUUUCAACCCAAUCUUCAUACUCUUUUGACAUUUUACUACAAUGCAUCCAUGACUUAUCCAUUUUUAAUUUCAAUUAGAUCUGAUCCUGACACAUUAAGCAAGUAGUAUAUAAAUAAAAUAUCAGAAUAUAUUAUUAAUACAUAUAUGCAAGGUACAAAUUAACAAUGACUUAAAUACCUUUGCUGCAACAUAAACAAAUGAAAAUGAGAAACAUCCAAAAACAAAUGAAAAACACAUGGAAGAAUAUAUAAACUGAAUUUUUCUUGGCACAUGCUUACCUAAAUUUUGAUCUGAUAUGAAUAAGAAUUAAGUCCAAAAAAUAUCAUGAUCACAUGCUUGGUCCAGUAAAGAACACAUAGACUAUUUGAGACCUAUAACAUUAUAUUAUUAAAUGAAAAAAUUGUUCUACUAAUAUUCUUUACCAAUGCAAACAUGGUCAAAGUCUUAAGAGUGAUCUAAUAUCUCAAGCUAUAUGAUUUGGUGAUGUCUUUUGUUUCAAAACCGAAAAGCAAGGUUGUUGUUUGUUUUACAUGUCUAAUAUUGCUUUAAGCAUGUGAUUUGGUAAUGUUUAAGUUGCUGGAAAAUUGAGAUAGUUGGUUUAUGGAUUCUCUAGAAAAUUUUAGAAUUGUUGGACUUUAUAAUAAGUUUUAUUAUUUCAAAAUGUGACUAAACUAUACUUGAUUGACUUGAAAAAGUUGAAUAUGUAUGUUUUAAGUUUGGAGAUUUUUGAAUUAAUAGUUGAUUUUUAAUGAAUUCAUCAAAUUGGUCAACUGCUGUCCAAAGUUAUCAAAAACUCUGUAUAUACCAUGUUUGCUGUUAUAAAUAAAUGUUCUAAUGGUAUCGAAAUGAGCUGAAAUUUUGAUAAAUUAAACUUUACUAUGUUUUUCAAAUUUGGAAAAUUUCAUGGUAAUUGAACUUGUUUUUUUUUUUUAUGAUUUUUUAAACCUUGUUGCUUCAAUUGUUAGCCCCUUUGACAGAGGUGUUCUCUUACUUUUGAUCUUAUGAAACACUAGCUCAAUGAUGUCGGAAUGAUAUGAAAUUUUAAUAAGUUAUGUAAUCAUAGAUCUAUCUAUGUUCUGGAAAGUUUUAUCCUAAUAUAUUAAGUAUUUUAAUUUUAAUGAAUCACUAAAUCUCAACUAUUUCUAUGUAAAUUAAAAGGCAAUUUUGAUUGGUUUAGUUUAAUCUUGUGAGACCCUAUUGUAGAGUUGUCUAAAUGGCUUCAAAUUUUAAUAUGGAAAGAAGUUAUAUACUAAGGCUGAGUUAGAUAAAGCCCAUUUUGAGUGAGCGUACCAUGUUUCUAGAAUAAUUGUUGUUGUGUGAGGUAAGCUUUAACUGGCAUUAUGUUUGGGUGCCUUAUGCUAAACGGAUGGCUAGGUUAUCCUAGGGGAACACUUGCACGUGGCUUGUUACACCAGCAGUGCAAAUUGAUAUAGUCCCCAUUUGGGUUGACCAUCAGAAUAUACGUCGCUGGUUUCCCGCCUAUAUACAAUGAAUUCCCAAAACUCUAUUUAUGUUCUAGGCAAGUCAGAUUUAGUGCACAAACAUUUCUCUAAGUUUGAUCCAGAAUUAUACCCACACUAUUAACACAAUUUCCAAAAACAAACAAUAUGGCAUCAAAAUAUACAAACUGUUAUUAAACAAAUAUAAAUAAAGCAGUUAAUAAUUUAAACCUAACAACAAAGUAUUUGGUAUAAAAUACUAAAGAAACAAACAAACUUAUUACAAUGAGCAAUCAAAUAAGCAGAUGGGUAUAUACAGUAGCAAGAAAAAAUGUUACUUGUCUCAUAAAGCGCGAAAAAUCUAGAUCGAUGAAUAGGGAAUUAAGUGAAGAAACCAAAAUGCAUAUGAAAAAACAUUUACAACAUAGUCAAGUAUUUACAUAUAUUUAUAUAAGGAAAAUUAUCCACCAAUCACUUGUUUCUUCUAGCUUUUUAAAAAAUACACAAAUCUUUUUUUUUUUUUUUUGCAGCACUUCACCUCAAGUUAACAUUUUUUUCACUGGUCCACCCCUGUCAUAACAUUGUUAGAACUCUACUAACAUCCUAAGGGUAAAAUUGUCAUUUCACACCGAUAUUGUUUGAAGACAGUAGUGGAUAGGUGCAAAACAAUAUAACUUUAAGUAGAGUUCAGCAAAAAAAAGAAUUUGUAUUUUUCAAAAAAUACGAAAGAAAAUAGGUGGUUGGUGGAUAAUUUUCAUUACAUUUGGGGGUAAAAAGUCAUUUACACAAUAUUCCAUUAUUUUUCUUAACUGUUUGAAGACAGAAGUGGACAGGUGCAAAAUAAUAUAACUUCGAGUGGAGUUCAGAAAAAACUUUUUGAAAAAGUGCAGAAAAACAGGUGGUCGGUGGAUCAUUUCCUUUUAUAUAAAGAGGAUAAGGCAAAGAGAAUGAAAACAAUGUGUUUAACCAAAGAUUCACGCUACAAGACAGAUAAUACCGUUAAAAAAAAGAUAUUAGAAGAACAUGCAGCUUCAAUUUUACCCAUAUGGAUCUAUCUAUCCUCCAAUUAUCCAAGACAGAUAAUACCAAAAAUUCCCCAAAUGAGCGUUGGGGUUACCUUAAGAACUGGCUAAAUUUUGUUUGCUUGGCUGGAGCUCUUUAUGUUGCGAAGGCAGUGACAUACGGUUUCAAAACGAAUAGUCAAUGGUUUAGUUAGGAAAAUUUGAAACGAAGUGAAAAAAAUUGACGGUAUUAGGAGCUAAAGCGAAAUUGAAGAGGUUCAUGGCUUAAAAGGAAGGAGACUAAUAAUUUUACAAAAAGAAUAAUCAAGUAUAACAGCAACGACAAUGUGUGAAUGGUAGAAGAACGAUAAGAAUCAGGGGGUCUCUAAAAAGGUUUUGUGAACGGCACGAAGGAACAAGAGAAAUCACACUUGGGGAUGAUUUGGAUUUCUAAGUAAUAUGAAUGUUUACUAAUUACAAAAAAGAAAGAAAGCUUUAAGUACCUAAAAUGAUACCAUUUUGGUCUACCGUUUUAAUUAUUUGACCACAUUCGAAUUUGGGUCGAAUGUGGUCAAAAUCAAUUCUAUCAUAAUUGCUUCAUAGAAUAAAUUUAUAUCAUAAUUCUAUCAUAAGUUCAUGAUAAAAAAUAAUUCUAUCUCAAAACCAUCAUAAAUUCAUGAAAGUAAAUAUUUCUAUCACAAUCCCGUCAUAAAUCUAUGAUAGAUUGAAAAUUCUAUCAUGAUUCUGUCGUAAUUUUAUGAUAUAAGUCACUUUGCCUAUAAUAUGUCAUAAAUUGUCUGUUAUCUAUUACUUGUUUCUUGUAGUGUGCACCUUUGCACUUGUGUCAAACCUUGCAUUCUUGUCAUGUAAUUGAAACUUUCAAUAUGCGCCAACAAGUCACUCUUCCUAAAGUACUUGAGAUCGGGAAAGUAGAAGUCCCUAGGUAUCGUGGUACUCAUAAUCUCUAUUCAAAGUGGAGACUCGUUAUCCAACAUAUUUUCAAGCUUGGAGGCCUUCGUCGAUCCUGUAUCUCGUCAAUGUUCUGAGCCAAAAUUCGCAUUUCUUCUUUUUAUUCCACGACACGACCAAGAUUGCAUGUAGCAACUUGCUCGUGUUCCUAUUCUAUUUCAUUAAGAUGUUGCCUUAAUUCCCUUUCUUCAAUAUUCACUUCCCUUAUAAUAUUCUCGAAAUUCUUACUAUCAUGGAACUAAAUCUCUGUUCUGUGGUUCUGUUCACCAUGAAAUUGACUUCCAACUUUAGAAUUCUGCUCUUCAUGCAAUUGAUUUCUCAUCGCUAGAUUUUGCUUGCCUCGAUUUGGUCUGUCGCUUGAAAUUGGGAUGUCCUGGUUCUCUCCUAAGCUUCUCCGACCAAAUCUCCUUUGCGCCUCCCUCAACUCAUGUAAAACUAUUGUAAGGGUUUCCAAUUGUCUCUUUAUUUGUUCCAUUCGCUCAUACAUUGCUCUUUCCCUCGGCUCAUUUACAAUCUCUCACAAAGUAGCAGACUCAUUCACUCUAAGGUCAAUUCCUUAAGCUCUGUUUCCUCCUGUUUUUAUAUUCGAUCACCUUCUCAUCAACUUGCAUGGUUAGUGGCAGCUUUUCAUUCAGCCCCCAUAGACGGCACCAAAAUGUUGAUGUAAAAUCUGGUUGAAAUCAUUAGCACGACCAAGUCACCAUGUCAACACUUGAAUUUGUUUUGAUGGGGGACAGUACAGUUUGCACUUCCCUCCUUCGAACAGAUCCUAAUGUCUACGUUCACUUCCCUCUAGAUUCUCUUGCAUUCACAGAAAUAAUUAAGGGAUGCCGGAUAUUUUACGACAUAAAUCCUCUAGCGCUCAAGUUAGCACUUGAGUCUCUCUAGGAAAAACUUAUGUCACAACUUAUGUGGCCAAUUAUAAUUGUAUCCAGUACAAAUAUUUCAGUGAUUCUCAAAAAGAGAUAAAUUCUGAAAAAAUAAAUUCCAGAGUCAGAAAGGUAGAAUUUCAUUUCAGAGAGCGGAAAAGAGCUCACCUCUUUCAGAUUUUUGCAGACCUUUUAUAGGCAGCCGACACUAUCGUACUAUCGUGUGACAAUUCCUUUGCAUCACCGCUCAUAGGUUAGUUAAGUAGCUGCCACGGGAUAAUGGAUGAAUGUGCGAGGAAGUUGAUGAAUUAGUGGUGCAACCGUUAAUGGAGUUGUGUCAUAACUAUUAGUGAAUUGACUUCUUGCCUAGAUUCUCCGGGGGAAAGGGGAACUUGCUGGUUGCUCUUUCAUCAUCUCUUAAGAUGACUUGAUUUGGACCUCUAAUCGUGGGUUCUAUAGUUAGCCAUAUAUAUACGAGCAGUUACCAGUUUCCUCUAGGAUCUCUACCAAUAGAGUCAUGCUAAAACAAACAUUGCCCAUCAUACUCAGUUGGCAUCUCAUCGUAUUGUCCCCCCCCCCCCCNNNNNNNNNNNNNNNNNNNNNNNNNNNNNNNNNNNNNNNNNNNNNNNNNNNNNNNNNNNNNNNNNNNNNNNNNNNNNNNNNNNNNNNNNNNNNNNNNNNNNNNNNNNNNNNNNNNNNNNNNNNNNNNNNNNNNNNNNNNNNNNNNNNNNNNNNNNNNNNNNNNNNNNNNNNNNNNNNNNNNNNNNNNNNNNNNNNNNNNNNNNNNNNNNNNNNNNNNNNNNNNNNNNNNNNNNNNNNNNNNNNNNNNNNNNNNNNNNNNNNNNNNNNNNNNNNNNNAAACACUCACUACAAGAAAAAAAAGGUUAUUUCCGAGGGAAAAUACCCUCGGAAAUACAUAAAUGCUCCCGAAAAAACUCAUUUCCGAGAAAGUCAUGCUGUCGACUGUUGUCGUAUUAAGUCGCAUCGGAAAAGCACAAUUUUUUAUGGGUCGUCAGAGAAAAAAAAUUAUUUUCAACGGCAGUGCCAUCAGAAAUGACAUCAAAUGCCCUCGGAAAUGAUCCCUAUAAAACCAAAAUUACAUAUUUCCAAUUGCAUUUGCCCUUCGAAAUAGCAUUAACUACCCUUGGAAAUGGCUGGAUAACGCAAAUGAAUACUAUUCCAACCGUAAUUUACCCUCGAAAAUGCUUCUUUUUUUAUUUAGUGACCCAUUUAAAAAAUUUAAUAUUAUUAUUUAUCUUUUUAUUUUUUUCUUUUCAAGUAUCUGUAUUACCAAUGCAACAUAAUCAACAAAAUGGCAAUAGCAACACGCAAAAUACAUCUUCAUUAAUUUCAAAAAAUUUCAAGGUAUCACAUUCAUCAAUCAAAAGUAGAACAUAAUCAAUUUUAAUAGGAUAUGAAAAAAAUUCUCAAAUGUAUACGCAAUAUGAUUUCAUAGCUUGAAUUAUUUCAAGCAUCCUCCAACACGUGUUCUUUAGUCUCUGAGACCUACGUUUGCCUUUACCUCAUCUUCUCUAUUCCCAUCAUCAUCUUCAUUCGACCAAAUAAUAUCAUAUAUGAAUCAAGAAAUAUGAAUUUGCUCUAUCCCCACAUCAUCAUUACUACACCAAAUAAUAUCCUAAAUCAACGAAGAAAUAUUAAUCAAUAAAUUAUCAAAUCAGUAACUAGUAUAAUAGUAUGUUAUAUUCAACAAUCACUUUGUAUAGAGCUGAGCAUAAGUAUUAUAUCCAAGAUAUGCUUAAGAAGCUUGACAGAAUAUGAGACUGGAAUGGAUAAUAAUCAUUAGAGCAAUAUUUUGUAUCAAUAAGCAAAUAUGCUAAUAUUUGAAGUCAUUAGCAGAAGUUGGAUUCUAAAUUUAGCAAGUAUUUACUAACCUAUAAAUUUGGACAUUAGUCCUUAUACAAGUUUAGAGAGGCCGAAAAAUGCAACACUGCCAUUAGAAGAUUUAUGUGUUUGUGAUAAUCUGGUCUAUCAGUUACAAAACCCUCUUAUGGUUAGUUUCUAUAGAUUAGAAAGUGAAAAAAAAAUUAAAAGGCUUGAAAGUAAAUGAAAAUUAACAAUUUGUAACCUAAGAGAUGAUUCUUGUGCACUUGUGUUUCCAAGUACAAGCUUCACUAUUCUUUUCAACCUCUUCACUUCUUUCUCCAGAAACUAUAAUACAAUGAAGAAUGCCAAACAAUGAGCAUGAAAUAAUUGCUACUUGAAGAUCGCCAACUAUAAAUUGUCCAUAAACCUUGAAAGAGAGUAAAACUACCAUAAAGAGUUUGGAUUCAUUAUCAUGAACAGCAACAAAUGCAAGCCCUUAAGCUAGCUCAACUGAAAACUCAUCAGCUGUCAAAUUAUAUAUGCAUAUAAAUUAGCCCAAAAAAAAAGAAAAUAUAAUUUAAACUUUGUAGUAUUAUUUUCCUGAUUAUCCAAUACUCACCAUGCAUGGUUUUGAAUGUAGACUCAAAUAAUAUUCAGUAAUGAGAAUCCAAACAGAAAAUAAUAUGUUAGUUACGUUUAAUUUCAGCCACAUUGUGCACUCUCAAAUAAGGAAUAUUGUUAUGAAAUUCUCCAGCAGCUGCAGCAUGUGCUACUUUACUCUUCAAUUUGAUUGCAGAGUCCAUGGUCCUUAUAUAUCAACUGAGAAAUUCAAUAAGGAAAACAAAAAUUGGACAAAGCUUGAAAGUCCAUAGUCCUUGUAUACCUCCACAGUCUCUAUACACCUAAAAGGAAAGUUUUUCAGAGGUUUUAUAUUACAUAUAGGUGUUACCAUCAAAGCAAAUAAACAGUGGCAGCACAUGCUAUGUAAAAUUAAAUUCAAUAACUAGCAAAAUACAAACUAAAAAGGGAGUAGUAGCUACGCCUGCUCUCUGAUUCAAUACUUUUUUUCUUUUGAUUGUUAUUCUCUUAUUCUUCCCUACUGGAUUUGAUUCUUAAUUAGUUUCUGAAAAUCAAGAAUGAGCUGCCACUCCUGAAUCUCAAGUCAUCUUAAUCAGCUUAUGCCAUGCAUAUCUUUUUUGCUUUAAUUAUGCCAUACUAUUAAUUAAUAACAUGAGAUGAUAAACAUGCAUGGAUGGAUAACUAACACAUGAUUCUUGAUCAACUAAAUGGAAUAAUCAAUAUUGUUUCUGAAAAAAGAAAAUUAAAUAAAUGCAAAAAUGAUGCUGUCAAGUUGUAAUUAUACACUAGGAUUAUAGUCUCCAUGAACUUGAUAGUUUAAUAUCUACUGACUAAGCCCCAACUGUAUUUAAAUAACAUUCCUUUUUCUAUGAGCCAUUUCAACAAACAGCUUGAAGACUGUGUGGAAUCAAAUUAGUUAUAUUCGGUUAUACAUGCUGAGGUGGAAGCUAAGUCAGCAAUGUGGAAGCUGAGUCAGCAAGGGUGGGUCCCCAGGUGGUUUAAUUAGUUGUUAUAACCAGCUGUACUAACUGAUAGCUAUAAGAAGAAGCUUCAGAGAGAGAGCUGAUAAGUGUGUGUGAGGUUAUCGAGAACAUUAGUGUGAGUUUAUUGAGAGAAGAAACCCUCUGUGUGAGUGUAAUCAAGUUUUUGCUCUCUAUGAGACUCCAUUGUAACCUUCUUUGUUCAUCUGCUAAUAAAACUCUAAGCUCUGCUGUUCCUGAUCGUGGAUGUAGGUACCUUGGUACCGAACAACGUUAUCUUUGUCUUGAGUCUUUAAAGUUCUUUAUCUUGCUCUAUUAUUUCUGGUAUUGGUAUCAGCUGUUCCUGGGUUCUUGCUUUGGUUGUGUUUAGUUGUUGCAUCAGUAGAAUUGCAAGGUUGAUCAGAAUAAUCCAACAAAUUGGUAUCAGAGCUUGGUCCAUCUAUCUUGCUCUAAGAAAUUCUAAAAAAAUGGGAUCUACAAGAUUCGAUCUUGAGAAGUUUAAUGGAGAGAAUGACUUCUACCUGUGGAGUCUUAAAAUAAGGGCAAUCCUCAUUCAACAAGGGCUGGAUUCUGCACUCGAAGAAGAUGAAGAUUCAAAAGUCCAGAAAGGGAAGAAAGAAUGAUCAUCUAGUACUGGUGCAGAUAAAAGAAUCAUAAAUAACAAGGCUCACAACACUAUCAUUUUACACCUGUCAGAUGAAGUACUGAGAGAGGUGGCUAAAGAAAAGACUGCUUCUGGUUUAUGGGCUAAGCUGGAAGAAUUAUUCUUAAAGAAGUCAUUAGCCAAGAGAUUGUACAUGAAAAAAACUGUACACGUUUUCAAUAAAGGAUGGAACAGCUUUGAAGGACCAUUUGGAUGAGUUCAACAAACUGAUUCUGGAUCUUGAAAAUGUGAACAUAGAUCUUGAGGAUGAAGAUAGAGCCCUAAUCCUAUUAAGCUCACUUCCAGAUUCCUAUGAGCAUUUUGUUGAUACAUUGCUUUAUGGGAGACAGACACUCACACUAAAGGAUGUAAAGAAUGCCCUGGAAUCGAAGGACUUAAAGAGAAGAAUAGAUGGAAAGGAUCUAAACCCUGCUGAAAGCUUAGUUGCCAGAGCUAAACCUGAUAAGAAAUUCAACAAAGAUAAGAAGAACAACAACCAGAAAGACAAAGGAGACAAGAAGAAAAAGAAAAGAAAUUGUUAUUUUUGCCACAAAGAAGGACAUUACAUCAAAGUCUGUUUUGAGAAGAAGAGGCUGGAAAAAUUGCAGAAAGAAACAAAUGGGAAGGCUGCUGUAGCCUCAGAAGAUGAAGGAAUCUCAGAUGAUGCAGAUGUUCUCAUUGCUGCAGAGAAGCAACCUUCAGGUGAGUGGAUACUUGACUCAGGUUGCUCCUUCCAUAUGUGUCCUAAUAUGGAUUUUUUUAAGACCUUUGAACAAGUUGAUGGUGGGAAGGUCUUGCUUGGUAACAAUCUUGCCUGUAAAGUAGCUGGAAUUGGAACCAUUAACAUUAUGAUAUUUGAUGGGAUUGAAAGAGAUCUAAAGCAGGUCAGAUAUGUCCCAGAAUUAAAAAAGAAUCUAAUAUCCUUAGGAGUAAUGGAUCAGGCUGGCUGUAGUAUAAAAGCAUAAAAUGGUAACCUUCAGAUUGAAGAAAAUGGUCUGGUCAUAAUGAAGGGCAUAAGAAGAAAUGGUUUAUAUGUACUCACUGGCUCAACAGCUGAACCAGCAAUCACAGCUAGUGUAAGUAGUGAUAGAACCAAGCUGUGGCACAUGAGGUUAGCACACAUGAGUGAGAAGGGAAUGAAAGAACCGAGCAAACAAGGGCUGCUGGGAAAUGAUCAGAUCACCUCUUUACAGUUUUGUGAAAAGUGUGUGUUUGGAUCACCUCUUUACAGUUUUGUGAAAAAUGUGUGUUUGGUAAAGCAACAAGGCAUAGGUUCAACCCUGGAAAAAAGGAAACUAAACAGACCUUAGACUAUGUUCAUUCAGACCUUUGGGGUCCAUCACAAGUCCCUUCUCAUGGUGGAGCCAGAUACUUCAUAACCUUCAUAGAUGACUACUCCAGAAGAGUGUGGGUCUAUGUGCUGAAACAUAAGAAUGAAGCCUUUGAAAGAUUUAAGGAGUGGAUUGCACUCAUGGAGAAUCAAACAGAAAGAAGACUUAAAAGACUAAGAACAGACAAUGGUUUAGAAUACUGUAACAAGGACUUUGAAAAUUUCUGUAAGUCAAAGGGCAUUGCUAGGCACAGGACAGUUAGAAACACCCCCCAACAAAAUGGGUUGGCUGAAAGAAUGAAUAGGACCUUAAUUAAAAUGGUCAGAUGCAUGCUACUAAAUGCUAAUCUGUUUAAACACUUCUAGGCUGAGGCUGUAAAUACAGCUGCAUAUUUGAUAAACAGGAGCCCAUCAUCAGCCUUGGACUUCAAAACACCUCAAGAAGUGUGUUCAGGGAAGCCACCAAACCUUAGUAAUCUCAGGUAUUUGGUUGCCCAGCUUAUGCACAUAUAAGUCAGGGCAAGCUAGAACCAAGGGCUGUAAAAGGAUACUUCAUAGGGUACCCUGAAGGUAUAAAAGGAUACAAGAUUUGGUGCUUAGAUGGCAAACCAUCAAGAACUCUGAUCAGCAGAGAUGUAGUGUUUGAUGAAGAGGCUAUGCUGCAGCAAAAGGUUGGAACAGAAAUUGAAGUUUCUGAACCUUUAAAUAAAUUGAGUUGAAGGUGGAGUCCAAAGACAUUUUGAAAGAAAGUGAAAAGAUUACAGAGUCUCAUCAUGGAGUUAGCAAAGCCUCAGAACUUGAUAACUACCAACUUGCAAGAGAUAGAGAAAGAAGGGUAGUUAAAAUGCCCAAAAGAUUAAGGAGUGGAUUGCACUCAUGGAGAAUCAAACAGAAAGAAGACUUAAAAGACUAAGAACAGACAAUGGUUUAGAAUACUGUAACAAGGACUUUGAAAAUUUCUGUAAGUCAAAGGGCAUUGCUAGGCACAGGACAGUUAGAAACACCCCCCAACAAAAUGGGUUGGCUGAAAGAAUGAAUAGGACCUUAAUUAAAAUGGUCAGAUGCAUGCUACUAAAUGCUAAUCUGUUUAAACACUUCUAGGCUGAGGCUGUAAAUACAGCUGCAUAUUUGAUAAACAGGAGCCCAUCAUCAGCCUUGGACUUCAAAACACCUCAAGAAGUGUGUUCAGGGAAGCCACCAAACCUUAGUAAUCUCAGGUAUUUGGUUGCCCAGCUUAUGCACAUAUAAGUCAGGGCAAGCUAGAACCAAGGGCUGUAAAAGGAUACUUCAUAGGGUACCCUGAAGGUAUAAAAGGAUACAAGAUUUGGUGCUUAGAUGGCAAACCAUCAAGAACUCUGAUCAGCAGAGAUGUAGUGUUUGAUGAAGAGGCUAUGCUGCAGCAAAAGGUUGGAACAGAAAUUGAAGUUUCUGAACCUUUAAAUAAAUUGAGUUGAAGGUGGAGUCCAAAGACAUUUUGAAAGAAAGUGAAAAGAUUACAGAGUCUCAUCAUGGAGUUAGCAAAGCCUCAGAACUUGAUAACUACCAACUUGCAAGAGAUAGAGAAAGAAGGGUAGUUAAAAUGCCCAAAAGAUAUGGGAUAGCAGACCUGAUAUCUUUUGCACUGAUGGUUGCUGAUGAGAUGACUGGAGAAGAACCUGAAAAUUUCAAACAGGCUAUGAAUAGCAGAGACAAUGGGAAAUGGCUGAGUGCUAUGGAAGAUGAAAUGAUAUCACUCAAGAAAAAUAAUACUUGGGUUCUGGUUCAGAGACCUGCUGGAAAAAGGUUAGUGGGAUGCAAAUGGAUCUUCAAGCUCAAGGAUGGAGUUUCUGGAGAUAAAUCAGUGAGAUACAAGGCUAGACUUGUGGCAAAGGGCUUCACACAAAAGGAAGGGAUAGACUUCAAUGAAGUCUUCUCACCUGUAGUUAAACACUCCUCUAUAAGGGUCCUAUUAGCCAUCACAGUUUUCUUUGAUUUAAAACUGGACCAGAUGGAUGUGAAGACUGCCUUCUUACAUGGAAGCUUAGAAGAAGAAAUUCUAAUGACACAACCAGAGGGCUUUGUUGAAGAAGGAACUGAAGACAUGGUUUGCUUACUCAAGAAAAGUUUGUAUGGGUUGAAGCAAUCUCCUCGGCAAUGGUACUUGAGAUUUGAUGAGUUUAUGUUAAGUCAUAACUUUAACAGAAGUGAGUAUGACAACUGUGUGUACUUUAGAAAGCUGAACUCAGGAGAUCAAAUCAGUCUACUUCUCUAGGUUGAUGACAUGCUCAUAGCAUGUAAACAUAAAGAAGAAAUUAAUAAGCUCAAGGCUAAGUUAAUGGCAGUAUUCGAAAUGAAAGAUUUGGGUCCUGCUGCUAAGAUACUGGGAAUGCAAAUAAAGAGGGACAGACAUGCCAAGACUCUAUUUCUCACUCAAACAGGAUAUCUGAAAAAGGUUGUCAAUAGAUUUGGGAUGAUGAACUCAAAAUCUGUCACUACUCCAGUAGCAACACACUUCAAACUCUCCAAGCAACAUGCUCCUAAAAAAGAAGCAGACAUUGAUCACAUGAGGAGAAUUCCAUACUCUAGUGCAGUUGGUAGCAUUAUGUAUGCUAUGGUCUGCACUAGACCAGAUGUUGCAUAUGGGAUUGGCCUUGUUAGCAGGUUCAUGGGGAACCCAAGCAAAGAGUAUUGGGAGGCUGUUAAGUGGCUACUAAGGUAUCUUAGAGGUACAGAAGGACAUGGAGUGAUGUUUGGACAGGUCAGCAAUGCCUCAAGCAAGGUUUUGGGGUAUGUUGACUCUAAUUUUGCAGGAGAUUUAGGCAAGAGAAUAUCUGUCACUGGUCUUGUAUUUACCCUCUGUGGUGGAGCUGUGAGCUGGAAGUCAACACUACAAUCAGUAGUUGCCCUUUCAACACAGAGGCAGAGUAUAUUGCUUUAACAGAGGCUGUGAAAGAAGCGUUAUGGUUGAAGGGGUUAAUCACAGAGCUGGGUUUGGAAUAAGAAUCAGUCACUGUCAACUGUGAUAGCUCAAGUGCAGUACAGUUGAGCAAAAACCCCAAGUAUCAUGAAAGAACUAAGCAUGUGGAUGUGAAGAUGCACUUUAUCAGGAAUAAAAUUCGAAGUGGUGUGAUUAAUGUCAUUAAGAUUCCUACUGAAGUAAAUCCAGCAGACAUGUUAACAAAGCCUAUACCAACAGUUAAGUUCAGGAACUCCUUGGACUUGAUUGGGGUUAUUAACUUGUAAGUCAAGUUACUAAUUUUCUGGAGCAAUGAUGAGUAGAGCUAUAACCGAAUAAACUAAGGUGGAGAUUUGUGGAAUCAAAUUAGUUAUAUUCGGUUAUACAUGCUGAGGUGGAAGCUGAGUCAGCAAGGGUGGGUCCCCAGGUGGUUUAAUUAGUUGUUAUAACCAGCUGUACUAACUAAUAGCUAUAAGAAGAAGCUUCAGAGAGAGAGCUGAUAAGUGUGUGUGAGGUUAUCGAGAACAUUAGUGUGAGUUUGUUGAGAGAAGAAACCCUCUGUGUGAGUGUAAUCAAGUUCUUGCUCUCUGUGAGACUCCAUUGUAACCUUCUUUGUUCAUCUGCUAAUAAAACUCUAAGCUCUGCUGUUCCUGAUCGUGGAUGUAGGUACCUUGGUACCGAACCACGUUAUCUUUGUCUUGAGUCUUUAAAGUUCUUUAUCUUGCUCUAUUGUUUCUGGUAUUGGUAUCAGCUGUUCCUGGGUUCUUGCUUUGGUUGUGUUUAGUUGUUGCAUCAGUAGAAUUGCAAGGUUGAUCAGAAUAAUCCAACAGACUGCAUUGAAAUCAAAAAGAGACUCAGAAAAAGUAAAUUGAUGCGUUUGAAAUCAGAUGAAAAUUGGACCUGGAUCGGCUAUUUUAAUGACUUGUUUGAAUUCGGAUCGUUCGAUGCGUCUGUUGAGCAACGUGAAGAGAUCUCUGAUUAGAACCCUAAAAUUCAUCAGCCGAUGGAAAUCAUAAACUAAUCCAAAACUAACUUGAAUCUAAUCUUAAAUUAAUUUGAAAAAAAUAAAGAUAUCAACUAUAAAAUUGAGAGAUCGAACAAUGAAGAAGUGAAAUAAUCACCUUCGGGCAAUCGAGAAGCAAGAACAAUGGAGAUGUGAAAAUGAUAAGUAAUUGUCACAUCCUUGUUUAAUUAAAAAGUUAUUGAGAGGGAGAGCUGUGAUCUUCUAAUCGCUUUCUUCUCCAUUUUUUUUCAAAUGAAAUCAAUUUUAGUGGACUAAUAAUAAUUUAAUUAACCACCGAGUUCAAGUUCGAGCUUUCAAUUAGGCAGAGCUAGUGCAUAAUUUAAUUAGCCAUUCAUUUAUUUUUAAACAUAUCACUAACAUUAAGUCUAACUUGAGAAGAUUUAUCAUUAAUUAUGCCCUUGAAUAAUUGUAUUUCCGACCAGUGUAUUAUUUAUUAGCGACAUCAAUUUGCUCUUGAAAAAGCUAAUAGUUUUUUUAAUAUUUUUCCGACAGAUCUUUUCGCCUUUGUAAAAAGUACUUAGUACCAAAGGUAAAUAAAACCCUCGGAAAUAUUUCGUCGGUAAUACUAUUGUUUGUUGCAGUGACUUUUCCCCUAAUCUCUAGUGUUGAAAGUGUAGCGAGUCAAGACUAGGAACUAAAAUUUGCUACUGCUGAUUAUCGAGGAGGAAGUGUUAGAUUGCACAAAUCACAGCUUGUCACUGGUUGGUACCUUUUGGACCUGAUCGUCCUUAUUGUGGUUAGUAUUUGAUCCUUUCACUUGAUAUGAGUGAUUAAGUUCUUGAAGAGACACAAGGGCCUAAUUGCCUUCUUGAAACACCACCUGAACAUACUGCUUUUGAGUUAUAUAGCAAUUCUCUUUCUUUUUUAGUAUUUGAUGAAAGGAAGAGUUGUUUUGACAUAUGGACGAUGAAAGAGAGAUGUUGUUGGACCAAAGAAUUCACCACUGCCCCAAUUAUCGUAGUUGAUACUCCAACUGGGUUUUGGAAGAAUGAUGCCUUGUUAUAGGAUCCAAUAUAGAGCAGUUACUUUUAUAGAUCUGAAUACUCAGGAAAUCAUUGACUUUCAGCACAAAGAUUGUUGCUAGACUUUUUUUAAAAAAAAAAUAAAGAGAGUUUAUUCAAAUUUAAAGGUUAUUAGAGAAAUAUCUUGACUCAAAACCUUAAGUUGAUAGGUAAGGGCCCAAUAAUUUUAAUAGGUGUUCUGUUCACGUGAAACAUGAAUUAAGACUUGAAACAGAAGCUCUUAUACAUGGGUUUAAAGAUAAUAUCCGAAAGUGAGAUAAGAAAAUGAAGAAAUAAUUAAACGAACGGAUUCACUGUAUCAAAUGAAUCGUCAAAUAAGGAGCUUCGCUAUGGCCUCCAAGUAGGAGUUGUAUCGGCUUCAUAGGUUAAAGUUUCUCAUGAGUUUUUGGGAAAGAGUAUUGCCAUUAAGAGAUAUGGACAAUAUGUAAUGCCGUAGCCAUUAGCUAUAUGAAUGUAUAUAAUGAUGUAUUAGUAUAGUUUGUUAAGUCCAUUAUUUAUAGAAUUGGCAUCUUAUGGCAAGUCUAGUUAAAUUAGAAGUUUAUUUAUUACAUAUCUUGUAAUAGAGAUUAAUUUAUUAAUUCCCUAAUUUAGUGAGAUUCCAAUUUAUUAGGAAUAUUUGUUUCUUAAUUUAAUUAGAAAGUCUAAUUUAGCAAGUCAAUUAAUGGUGGGAUUCUAUAAUUGGCGCAUGAGAUCUAUUUAGAGCAAGAAGUUGGUUCAAACAGGAAGUCAUUAAAUGCUCUAGAUAUUUCUUGGGAGACAAGCAAGGUAAGAAGAUCAGAUUUGUUCCUAUUCAUAUUCAUAGGAAUUAUAAGAGGAAAGAAACUCUUAUUUGGAAAGAAUUCAAGUCUUUUAAGACUUAUUAUUUUGGUGAAACUCUAGUGCCUAUAUAAAAAGAGGUAUUUCAUAAUUGAACUUUUUUUUUUUACGCACAACACAUAGCAUAAAGCAGAGAAGCAAAAUUCGGCCUCCUCCCUAGAGAAUCCGAAUUUGGUGCAUAAUGUUGUGUUGAUUUGUUUUCUUAUCUUCUUUUAAUCUCUAUGGAGAGUCUAUGUGGAUCUUGGAUCACUAGAUAUCGAAGAAUUGCUAUUGAUCAUUUUACGAAGUGCCUUGAGAAUCGUGGAUCAAGAGGGUAGCAAUUAUUCAAAAGAAGCAGAUUCAGUCUAAGGUUGAGUAAACUGUAUGGUGAUAAACUGUAAGUGAGAGUCUUAAAUUUAGUAAAUCCAUAGGUUGUAACAUCUCAACUUAUAGAAUUGCUUUUCAUUUGGGCGUGGCCUCGUGGAUGUAGGAUUGAUUAAUUAGAACCACGUAAAAAUCUUCGUGUCAUUUAUUUUCUGCAUUUUAUUAUUUUUUUGGAAAAUUAAUAUUUUUGAAGCGGAUGAACAGUAAUCGUGAACAAUAACUGUGAACAGUUGCGGUAAACAGUAACGGUAAACAGUAACAGUGAACAGUACUUCCAGAAAAUUAAUUAAGUAAUUAAUUUUUAGUUUUUAAUUGCCUACAUCUAUUUGUGAUAGAUCUAAAUUCCUUUCAUAGUCGAUAGCAAUCUUGUUUACAUAUUCAAAGUAAUAUCCUGAAAAUACCCAUGUAAGAGCAAGAAGUAGACUUGUAACCCAUAAUUUCUGAGUUCUUGUAUCCUAGAGUUCAUGGAUUUGUUCCUUUUCAAUUUAAAAUUUGGCUUGAUUUUUCAGUUUCUUUAACAAGUAGCAAGCAGACAGAUUCCAUUAUAUAUCUUCAGUUGAGUGAUUUCCAAGAUAUUCAUCCCCAUAAAUCAACCAGAUUCACCUAUUUACAACAUCAGCAUAAUAUUGUCAAAUCAAAUCGGGGGUUCAGUUCCAGGAUGGUAAAUAAAAAUCCAAAAGCCUAUUUCACAUAUAUGAGUUCAUUGCUGGGGAUUUAUUGAGGAGUAAUUGUAUAAUGCUCGGUCAAACCAUAUCUCGUCGCUAUAUAGCCUAUUGGUAACCCACCCUCUCGAGAAAAGUUGAGUGAAUUAUGGACCCUUCCGUAAUCAGGUAAAGGUGAAUUUUCUUUCUUACAAAUGUGAAUAGCGGGUAGAUAUGUCCCAAAAAUCAAGAGUAGAAUUCU
rnacentral:lncRNA from 1 species